rnacentral:lncRNA from 1 species
CGGGGCUUUAGGUGUCAAGGCGGUGGCAGGGUGUGUAUGUGUACGUCUGUUGUUACAGGGUAGUUAAGCUUCACCAGCGGGCCCCUUCCCCCGAGGCAGUUCCCUGCUCUCCCCUGCGAGAGCGGCACCCUGAUCCGUUCACCCCAUCCGACUUCAGAAUGUAUUCGUUGGGUUCAGCUACUCACCACCAGCAUCCAACCAAAUCUAGCGGAUCAACGGCGCAUCAACUUAGUUCCUGGUCAGCUCGCAAGUUGAUAUUAUCACGUCCUACACCGUCCUUAAGAUGGGGUGCCAUCUCCCAUUUCUACACUCCUCAAACACCCGAGGAGUCGGCAGGCGGAUUUGAAUCCGGAACCUCCGGGAGCAGAAGUCAGGCCUUAACCUCUGCCAGCCGCCUGCCUAUAGCCGCCUGCCUAUAGCCGCCUGCCUAUAUGUGUAUGUAUGUAUGCGCGGGGAGUCUUGAGGGAGGGGAAAGGGGGUCUGGAUUUUUCUAAAGUUCCUUUGGAAGCGUCCUGACAUUGCCGCUCUCCGAAACCGCUCCUUCCCUCCUUUUUUGAGCCUUGCUGCCUCUGCUGUUCAUGGUCCAUGUGUGUUUCCGUGGCCUUUCCUCGCCCAGAGCCCCCUUCUCGUCGUGCGGAAUUCAUUUUGCAUCGUUUCAUCCGACUCUUUGACCUUUCCGCAAUCCUGUUCUGUUCUGGCCACGCACACACCUUCUCCCACCACGCUGCUCUUCCCAUCUGCUCGUUGUGAUAGUUCUCCACGUGCUUCCCCCUGCUCCACAUGUACGGCUGUGCAACCCUCAGCUGCUCCAAGACCUCCUGGAGCGCUACAACUUUACUGCACGGAAGAAAUCUCACUUCAAGAGCUGCUGUGCUUCGCUGGUGCUGCGGAAACAGGCCGUACGGCGAUGGCCCGUGGAGUUGUACAAGUACGGCAGGGGCGGGGUGGUGGUGUUGGUAUUGGUGGGUGAGAUCGGCUGAUUGGAAUGUACGGCGCAGGGUAUUGGUUACCGACCUGAUAGGAUGGGGAAAGGAGAACCCGCGGGAAGGGGUUCAGAUAGCCCUAUGAAGCCUCAUUCAGUCUUCUGAAGUACGGAGGCACGUGCAACGUAUGUAUUUUGAAUUUAAAUUGUUACAGAGUGGGAGGCUUCUGGGCCAUUUGAACACUACGAUUUAUCGUAUACAGCACCAUACAGCACCAUCCACUAUUACCACACUGUUCUACGUCCGGAAGUCCAUGGCGGUUGAUUACCCCUGCCUUCUAGGAUCCCUCCUCAUCCAUUCACCCGAACAUCCGUAGAGAGAGGGUUCAGCAAUCGCCACCAAUCCAACGUGCGAAUCUCAAUCCAUCAACUGUGGCCUCAACUCCGCAUCUCUGCAGCUAGCUAUAAUCUCGCGCACCCGCCAUUGUCGGGGGUCUCCCCAGAAAUCGAAUACGUGCAACGUAUGACAUGUACAACCUAGUUUUAUGCCGGGCGUUCUGAUUCCUCAUGUCAUUUGUUCUUUACCUUUACCAGGAUGUAGAAAUUUCGUUUAUUGUUUCCUGACUUCGCCUCAAAUUCCCUGUGUUUUUACAUUCCUGGGGGGAGUAUCCUACGGGUCCUGUUACGAUAUUUGGGUUGUCUUGGACCCCGAGCCCGUGCGGCUAGCCAACUGGCUUCAAAGUCGGUGAAGCCUGGUUAUGUGUGUGUGUGUGUGUGUGUGUGUGUGUGUGUGUGUGUGUGUGUAUAUAUGACUUGUAUUGAAAUUCGACUUGGACUGAAUUUUCAGUUUCCUUCUGCUGCUGCCGCUACCUCUACCGCUGCUGGUCCUUAUUGUUCAAAAGGGACUUGCUGUCGUACGCCAUGGACCCCGCUAUGGACUAUGAAGCCACCAAGGUCUGCACCGUGUCUAGGGUGUACAUGUGUGUACGCAUGUAUGCAUGUAUGUAUGUGUGUGUAUGUGUGUUUAUGUGUGUGUAUGUGUAUGUCUGUACGUAGAUGCCAGGGUUGCGGGGAAAUCUGAUUUGUGGAAAACAGAUGGGAGGUGUACAAUCCAUGCUUCAAUUGUAUGAAGAUGUAUACAUGGUCUCCCCCCACGAACCCGCAUGAUGACGUCAUGAUGACGUCGGGGUCCGCGAAGAUCCCGUCCUCUAUUCCCCCUUUCUUUGGUUCUUGUAUCAUCUGGGGAAUCUUCCCUCUCCCCCAAUAACUCUAAUGUCGUAAAAUGUUGUGGCUGCUGUUGCAUGUGGGACAGUUGUUUCACGCUCUUGUGUGCACGCUCUUCUUUGCGCACGUGUGUACGCACUUUAGUCUUAAGAACCCAUCACCCCUAGGCAUUGACGACCUGAAUUCCCCCCGCUCAACCAUUACAGGGCCCCAAACCCUCCAGCCCUCACCUCCUUUCCCCCACCCUACCUGGGUUCCCCUUUUGACAACCUCCCCUUUCUCCCUGAAGUUCUCCCUCCCUUCCUCCCCCCAUACACCCCUCAGCCGUGCUUACUUUCCCAUUCUCCCGCCUCAGCUCCCUCGCUUUACCCACGCGGCCUCCCCCCCCCGCUGCCACAUGCGCACAUACAUACGUACAUACGCACCCUCAGGCGGUUUCGGGACCCGGAUGGGCCCUAUGGCUGGACAGGGACUACAACACCUAUGACACCUUGGCGUACAUACGGGUACGGCGGUACGGCGGCUUUAGCCAUCCGCCAUGGCUCCUCAUGUUCGUCUAGUCCCCCGGUCCCCCCCCGCCCUUCCCACACACCCAAUCCGCCGUGUGGGACGCCUCGUAUGGCAUAUCUAUAGGCAUGUCGGGUCCUUACGACGCGUGCAGCUGACCUGUCCCGUCUUGUGUGUAUGACGCGCCACCCUUAUUCGCCCGGGAUUUCUCUCCCACCCCCGUGUCCCCCUCUAUUUCGCAGGUGGAUUUUCAUCUGAAGCACAUCCAGGGCUGUCCCGCCCAGUUCACUCCGCAGUUUCAGGAGCUGGUGCGGGUCAUGAGGGGACACGCGGAGGGGGGCCCGGAGCAGGGAUAGGGUUACUAAUUGCGGAUCUAGUAGCGGUUUUAGUAGGGGUUUUAGUAGGUUGCAAAAGUCGGGGUAGGGUUAAGGCUUGAGUUGGAGGACUCGUGCAGGGAGUGGUGGUGGACCUGCGGCGGCUCAGAUGACCGCCUGAGACGACCCGACUCUGUGCGGUGCGCGAUUAAGGAAGGGUGGGGGCUUGGGGAGAGGCGGCUUUAGGCCGUGCUAUGCGGUGUGGGGCUGCAGGGGGAGCGGAAGAGACAAGCCCGGUGUAUGUGGGGGGGGGAAGGGAGGAGGGGGGAAACAGAAACAGAGGAAAGAAAUACUAAACGAACCUUUGUUAACAAAAACCCAACGCGAACUCGAACGCAGUAAUAAUUGUCCUGAGGGUUGGGGGGAGGUGGCGGACGGGGACCGUAGGGCCACUGCCGGAGGCUUGUGACCGAGCGUUGAGGCGGGCACCGCCCACCCCAGGACAUUUCCUAUUGAAUGGCGCGGGGAAAUUUGGAUUCCGACCCUCCCUCCGGAAAGCUUUUGAAGCGCGUGCUUCAUUCCUUUUUCCAACGGGGGAAUUUAUUCGUGACAGGUGGCGUUUCCGCCGCGUGUGAUUUAUGCGCGAUAAUCCUCUGCUUAUUAUCGGGGUGGGUGCUCAAGAAGCGUGUAUUAUGCGUGUGAUUGCGGAUAUGGUCGUGUGGUUGUGAGAUUCAGUUAUUUGUUGCGUGUUGUGUUGUACAGCCCUUCGCUGUUAUUGUCUGUUGUGUGUUGCUUGCCGCUUGUUAUGCUCGCACACGGGUUGGUUUCCAUACUUUACCACGCGCCUCUUGCUCCUUAGGAAGAUUACUACGGCCAUGAUGGUUGGAAUAAUCUGAACGGCAAUUACCAAUCUUGAAAUGUGAUUUUCGUUUUGAAUUAGCAAUAUGCUCCGUAUAAUCGGAUUGCUUACAUGGUUACCAACAUUGGGAAAACCUACGACAGCAGACGCAUGCGUGCUGCAAAGUGCUCUAGAGCUUGUCGUAAUUCAUCACACUGACAUAUUCCCACUUAGCUUGACGAUCCGAAAUGAAAUCAACUACAAGCCCAGCACUACGCACACGCUCUCUCCACGACAAUCCACCAUACACCCUCACGCUCAACGUGUUGCGCAUCCCCAUGGCUCCUUAACACACUUCUUUUGGCAGGAGGAUACGUGAAACCGCCAAGCCAACAGGCCCUUGUGGAUUUCAAUCAGCCAGCUACAACUUGCCAAUCGGUGCUCCUAUCCACAGUCUGUUCAAAGCUCCUCCUCCGUCCUCCUCCCCCCUGUUGGCCCAAGGGAAACCCGUACAUCUCCUUCACCAGGAGAUAUGCCUAUAUAUAACCUGAACCGCACAUCCACAUCCUAAUCCAGGACAACUACCCAAAGAUAACGUAAGGGAAGCUAGUGCUGCCCCCCUCAGUGAUAGUCUUUUUUCUUCCUCGGGAUUAACGUGUAACGGCAGGCGGACUUGUGGGUGCAUCCUAUAAGCAGCUGCUAAGAAGCUUUUUCAGACUACCAGUGCAUGCACGAUCGAUAGGUAGCAUAGCCGUUCUAUCUCCGCGGGUUCAAACCACCAAUCCAUCAAGGCGAGGCGAAAAACGAGCGACCGACCCGUCGCUUCAACCAUUCAACCACCCACCUCCGUGAACACAAGAGUCGUCACAAAACGGGACAAAAGCGGGAAUGAGAACAUAGCGCUCGCUUGGUUGGCCGUAUGGCAUAUUACCCCCUACACUACCACCACCCACGAAAUAAAAAAUUAUAAUCCCCUAACCCUCUUUCUACAGCCUCUCACAUAUUUCUUUGCCGCCCCCUGCCCAGCGAGCCAUCAGCACCACCAAAACCUCCUAAUGUAAUGUUGCGCCCAGUCCGUCACCUACAGAUAUCCUCAGGUACCCGAAUGCCAAAAGCGCCGCUGGAUCUUUCUAUUUCCAUAUGUAAUGCACCCACCAUCCGGCAGCCUCCUAGUCCUGUCAUGUCGUGUCAUGCAACCUCAAGGAGUAACACACUCGCACUCACUCACAUGUCGCAUACCCUCGGUGUAUGGUGCACCCUCUCCCUCUCCUUCGCUCCAGCUGUUUUUUGCUUCCACCUUUAUCUUUUCCCUUCUUCCAGCCCUGGCGGUGGUGGUGAUGACAUAUCUACGGUCUAUCUCGCACACUCUCCCGAACACCACCGGGGGCUGCUCUGCCGCUUCCUGCUGGGAAGCCACCACCUCACGCUUGGGCUUUCUUCCCCAUCGGAGUAUUUUUCCUUUUCUUAUCUUAUAAUACUGUUCGGCCUCUCGGGCCUCUCUUGAGCGCAAAGAAUAGCAACGGGUGUGAGGGACCCACCGCAAGCCGGAAAGGAAACGAGGAAUUUGCCUGCGAGUCACCAUAAGCUCUCGCGCAGGAGCCACCCGCGUGGGCAACAUAACAGGUCGGUGUAGACUGUACAUGUACACAUGUAUGUAUGUCAGAUGUCAUGCCUGUUCCCGGAGCUCCCGGACGCACUGCGCAAUGGUGCCGUACACCUUGGAUCUGAUAGCGUCGCUCGCCACUAGCGACCUCAGCUUGGUCUGCAGGGGCGGGCGGGCGGGAGGGGGGGGAGAGGGAAGGGGGAAGGGGUUAUCCCGGCCCGCAGGUGCCGGGACCCCGGGCACUUUUGUGGUAUAUACGCAAAAUAAAAACCAAUUUCAACUGCUGACGUUGCCACAAGGUGGGCUGGAGUGAGUAUGCGUGUGUGUGAGAGAGAGAGCCCAAUUGUUUCAGGGAGGAGCGAGUGUGAGGUAAACGGCAAGAUGAACCUAAGCAAUGACCAAGCUUGAAACGCCAACAGCUGUUGCCCCAUCAGGGGUGAGGACGACCAGGUUGUUACAAACUGUAGAGACAGGGUGCACCAAGCUAAUGCGAAAGCAGUGAAGCCCAAUCUUCGCAGGCGGCGUCAUUGCCUACCUGCGCCGCUCCGCUGCCCUCCACCGUCACCGAGUACACGUAGUCGUCCUCGUCCCCCGUGGAGUGGACCUCCUCAACACGGAUAUCCCCCUUUACCUGCGAGCGGAGGUGCAGUGCGGUACCAGGACAGUGACGGACAGGGCCCAGGAUCUCACAUACACCUCGUUACACCUCUCUGGGUUCGAUUCCUGGGGAGACCCCCGACAUUGUCAGGAGGUGCGUGAGAUUAUGGCUAUAGCUGCUGAGAUGUGUAGUUCAGGUCACAGUUGAUGGACCGAGAUUCGCACCACGCUGGGUUGGUGGCCAAUGCUGAACCCUCUGUCUCUGCGGAUGAUCGGGUGAAAGGACGAUGACGGACACUGGAAGGCAAUAGAACCAACCGCCAUGGACUUGCAGUUCGUAUGGCGUAGUACCCUGUGGUAAUGGUGGAUGGUGUUGUAAGGUGUUCAGUCAUAGAUAGGACAAUCCAAAUGUGCUGCGUGAUCCCAGAAGCCUCCCACUCUGUAACAACAACUUCAUUAUAUACAUCCAUACUGCCGCAUCCGCCCCAUUUUCCGGGAGAAAGGCGCGCAACGCUGGCCGGAUCGCUUUCCAAAAGUCGCCAAAAGAGUAAUAAGAUGUUAAAAGUGCCUCAAAAGGCGGAACCAGGGCAUCGCCAGGAACAUACGCAAUAGCCCUCCCUUCCCCAGAAGUUUUCCGCAGUUCCUAAUAUAAUAAUUCCUCUGCCUUCAUCUCGAAGCGCCUCCCUCCCUCUUCCCGUUCGUUCUCUGCUAGCCACCCUGGGCCGCCACCCUCCACCCAGGCCGCCCGCGGGUUCCCUCACCGUGCUGCUGCCGCCCGCCACGAGUCCCUCCCAGGUCAAUGCCAGAGUCAGGUCGAAUACCGCGAAACGCUUGUUGCCUUUGCGCGUGGUGAUGGAGGCCUGGAGGAUAGGCAGCACGGAAGGAAGGGUGCUUGUUGGCGUUGCGGGGUGUGACGUGUCCAGGUGUGCCCCAGUUCGUUGCUCUAUUCCUUUGUCAAGCGCAUAUUGUUGACUUCGUUACCAGCUGCACAUACAUACAUACACACAUGCAUACAUACAUGCAUACAUAACCUGUUCCAAACCAACCAGGCACUGGUUCUGCGGAAAGAGUGGCCUAUGGGCCCAUCAGACGCAGGCCGAACCAGUUGCAAACUGAUGGAUGUGGCCAGACAGCAAUUCCUUCGCGAUUACUUAGGGCACAGGCAAGUACUGCAGUGCGUAGAUCUUUCAGGUCGUUUGCAGGUGAUUGCGUUUAUGUAUGUUACAUACAGGUGUACGGCUCCCACAUGUAUGUAGCAUGCGGAUGUACGGCUCCUUCGAUGCCGUGGAAGGGCAUGUGUCGCCGCUAUGACCGCAUUCCCCCCAUCCCAUGUGUUUUUACUUGAGUUGGGAGGUUGCAGUGCCAGUACCCAUUUGUGGCCAUGGCCGCCAGGUCAAAUGCAACACUUCGCACGUCCACCGCCGCCGGCGGGCUGUGUUCGACGGCACGCGAAAUCCCUUCGCUCGGUUACUUAGGCGCCUCCCAUGUCAUCUGGGAUGUCAUGGACUCAGUCCCAUAAAAACAAUGUUACCCACGUCGCCUGUCAUGUCCUUUAGUCGCUCCACUAUGAUCCUGGUAGGUUCGCCUUCAGCGGCAUCCUCAACCUCGUGAAGCACCAGCCCGGAAAAGAGCUCCGCCAAUCGUGUCUUUGUCCACUCUUUGCGAUCUUUCUCUUCCCAGUGCCAUCUGUGAAGCGUGGGAUGGACAACGACUGGUGAAUUCUGCACACACCGCACGACUCGCUCCAAACGUCAUAACACAACACCUUGAUCACGCACCCGUUCACGUUUUUGCCAUCGUCUCGAUGUUCCACAAGCCACCGUGGGUCUCCCUCGCCCCACUUUGCCAUUUAGUACACCUAUCUUAAAAGGGUUGUAACCUGACUUAUUAAAAGUGCUAUGUUGACGUUGUUCCUAGCACUUAAAAUAGCGGCAAUAUCUACCCGCAAGAGCAAUCAAAGGCGACGCAGAGAAUACUGCUAGCGGUAGUCCUACAGAAGCGUAAAGCUCGAUUUUAAUUAACUCCUCCAGCCACAGGUAAGUAGGUAGCACACGAACUGAAAUGUGGCAAUUGCGUACCGGCUUUCAACUUUGCUUCUUUCCAGAAACUCGUACAAUAAUCGUACUUGGUUAACACAUACGCGGAAAAUGCAGCUGUACCUGUGAGCUGCGCAGGUCCUGCGGAAUGCUAUAAGUAUGCCAGGAGAGAGGUGGACCGGUACUCCAUUAAUGUUCUUGCCCCUUUCAUUCAUCGGCUUUUCGAACACAUCCGUAGUAUGGAGGACUAUCCUAGUCAGUUUGAAGUGUCUUGCUUGAAGCCGAUUCACAAAAGACGAUUUGUAAGAUAAGAUCGUGGUUUUGCGGUAGGCGGAGCCCUAUGCUCGUGCUUUCAUUAAACGGCAGCUUGCUUACUAGCGCUACCAUGCGGGACGGGAAGACCGACAGACCACCAAGAAUUCCAAAUCUGGGUUUAUGAUAAUGGGCUCGCACAAGUGUCACGGCGACUUGGAGCGCCGGUUGAGAAUGGGGUGAGGCUGCCAAUGCACAAUUCCCGUUGCAGGGUGGUUUCCGGGCCAAGUUAGGCACCGUACACGACCUAAUCUUGCUCCGGCACCUUACUGAUCGGCACAGCAAUCGCCCUGACACUACAACCCCGCUCUUUGUCUGUCACGUCGAUUUUGAGAAAGCUUUUGAUCGUGUCCGCGUCUCCUGCUUUGGCUGAGACCAAAGGAUGCUGGACUCUCUGCAGGCCUGUAAUAGGAGAGUAAGCGUGCGCCUGAAAGCAAACUGUAGGCUGGGGGAACCUUUCGACUCUGUCGACUCUGUCGGGGCCAAACAAGGCUGCCCUGUGUUCACGGGGAGCCUUGUGAAGGUCGGUAUGCAGCGAGCAGUGAGACAUACUGUGCAGUUUAAAAAAUGCCGUGGGUUUGCAGGGCCAAGUAUUUACGGUUUCAUUACGGCCCGGAUGCCUCAGUCAAAUCUUGCACUGAUGAGCUAUUUAUUGCGGGGCAGCGAGCCACACAUGGCCUGAUAGCCAAUUGAGUAGGAAGGAACUGCCUCUGCUCAAGAUAGCGCUCAGGUGUUUCUGUAAUGAAAAAUUAGAUCCAUCCCGCCCUACGGAGUCCAGGUGUGGGGAUCGCAGUUUAUUCUCCAGGUCAUUGAGCAACCACCCGACCCACCUGGGCGGUCCUGCUACUUCAAAAAGUCUCUAGAGAUUUCCAUGGUCGAGCUGCAACGCACGUUCCUGAAGCAUCUCUCUGGGUUAGGGAAGAUACCGGAUAAUCGUGUCUUGUUUAGGGAGCUUGGUCAAUUGCCCCUCCACCUUCACUGGGCCGCACUUAUUUACCGUUUUGGAACAGGGUUAUCCUUGCGAAGGCGACUGUGUUUCACAAUUUCUUAAGUGAGGGGAUACGUCUUGCAAUGCGUUCUGAUCAUACUGCCACCAACUGGGUUGCCAUGAUGCUAAGGGCUUCUCAACCUAUAGGUGCACGCCAGGCUGAUAUGGCCCCCGUGCCUAAUAUGAGGUCUGUCAUGGAGAUUGAUUAUCAGCGCGGACUUGUGCAAAUCGUACACGACAUCUGGAUGAGACGAUGCACGCUGAUAGCCGACUAGUAAACCUGCGGUCGCUUACCCUAGUUAAUGUUACUGUUUGCUCUCGCAGAUGGGGUUCAUAACCCCCUUUUUCUUUUUUGUUCUUUCUUCGUGUCCCUCUCCCGUCCGCGGGAGAGACCUUAUGCGGUCUUUCCGUUGGGGCUGGGCAGCAGCCCCUGGCCAAUGUCAGGCCCGGUCAAAUACUUGUAACCUUCACAUACACACAUACAAACACCGUCACAUGCCUUCCUCGCCGCUUAUAUGAGGAUUGCAUCUAGUAGCUACUACGAGUCUCCAAGUAUCACCGAAGAAUUAAAUCACAUAAAUCUGUGCGCGGCCCACGGCUUUGACUUCCCAGGCAUCCCCGGCCUCAAGACGCAUCCUCAACUCACCAUCGCGAAUCCCAUACCAGCCAUAACCAUCAGCAAUAAUGAAAUGAACGCCGCCCAGCACCGCCACACUCCGCAACUCCGGCGGCUUAUCCAUGCCAACUGCUCCAGCAAGGCCGCCCAGCUCCACAACAAGACUGCCCACGUGCAGAGGUGUAAACAUCAAAACUUGGACCAAGUUCCAAUGCUCGUGACCGUCAACCCCGCGAAAAGCUGACAAGGCGUGUGGAAACCCGCGAAAAGCGUACCAGUCGUUGGGUGGCCCACGAACGGCAUGCAAGGACUGCUUCUCUGCAUUUGUCGCCAACCUACCAAACAGCGGUCGAUAAUUGGUCGCGUCUGUACCUGGCCGGUAGGGUAACCGACAUAACGAGCUAACGACCCAGUAACAGGGGGUUCACCAAUAAGGUUACCGACCAGUAAGGUUACCGAUAACCUUACCGGGUCGUCAUUUUGAGAUGUCGGACAAGCGACCGUUUGGGUUAUAGCUAACCGGUCGGUUACCGGUUACCCUUUUAUGCCAUAGGGGUUGUGGUGCGUGUGCACACUGCGGCGCAAGAUGCUUCUGCUCAUGUGCUUUGAUUGCUGUGCGGCCGCGCGGUUUCCUCGCUCUUCCUUGGACUUUCUUUGGAAUAGCUAUUUAUGGCUCAGUUCCGCCACAGUCCGCAACUCCAGCCCAUCCAUGCCAACUGCUCCAGCACUUUCCUCCUUGCCUUCUAAACUCCGUCUCACGCACAUCUCAUACAUGUCCUAUUCUCAAGUUCGACUGGCAAUGGGCUGGGUUCGCACAUUACCAGGAGGCUAGAUGCUCAGCCAUUCUUGUUGAGAUGGAAAUGCACCAUCCAUCCACCGUCCAUGGAUUUGAAUUGGUGCCUUAGCAAGUGUACACAUCACCCCAAUGCCACCGGCCGCUGCACCCGGCCCUCGCAGCUAUCCGUAACACUGAGUGUAUAGUCCUAACUCGACACCGUUCCCCACUUGCCGCCCAGUGCCGUACAGCCUCCCCUGCGGAAUUCGGUGGGGUGAUUGGCUGCACCAGAGCCGAGCCCUUUUCGGCUUCGAAAAGCUGACUACCCUAGUCAUAUCCUCGAGCCACACAUCCAACAGCCCCAUCCUGGCGAUGGCAUCCCCUCCCCUCCGCCAUCCUCAUCCUUGGUGGGUUGGGAUCGACCCUUCCAAAUAUGCCGCCAUCCUGGGCCCUACUGCCAUCCUAGUAAUCCUAUUCUACUUUUUCUUCCAUCCGUAUCCUGUGCCUGAACCUCCACAGCAUUCUGACCAACCUGCAGCCCUUCAGAUUGCACAACAAGCUAACCAGUUGCAGUUCCAACCAAUAAUUUCAAACAGACCGCGACACCAACUGUUCGAUUUCCCUUCUAUCUGCCUGUGUGUUUCUUAUUCACACUUUGUUAACUGGCAGCAUGUAUGUAUGCCGUACGCACGGCGCGAUCGACGCUGGCAUGCACGCGCUAUUGCGCUAUUGCUGGUAAAACGCCGCGCUCGUGCCUUCCCAGCAGAGAGAUAGGCCCCUAGGAAGUACCAGUAAAGAACACCCACCAUGGCACUGAUGGAGGCGUGAGAUAAUCCAUAUGGGUGUUAAGGCGAAAUGUUAUAUAUAUAGUUUCAGUCCGAUAGAUGCUCAGCCAUGUACGAUGAAUUACGCCAGCAUUGCGAAGCAUACAAAAGACGGCCCCAACGCCCUUCGUACCCGCUCUUCGUAGUAACGGCAGCACGAAGCGUUAAGGUUGCGUUUGGUAUUGGGAUCAUUUCUAGUCAUGUGUGUCUGGCUGCAUGAACCUGUUCCUAUAGGUGUAUAUGGCCCCGGGUCGCACGCACAACUACUUGGAGCAGCCCGGCAUGUUCACCAGCCGACCCGCAUGCGGACAUCUGUGGGGGCCUGCAGAGCCUGCUGGGGACCUAGUGGGGGGUGUCCUAGUUCCAACGAAGUAACGAAGAACAGAAACACCAAACGCACCGGGCUCAGCGACGCCCGUUCUGCACGCCGCGGUGCAUGUACGUGGCGCCAAAGCUAAUAAUACAUUGCACGCCAACGUACACACACACACACACACACACACACGAGCACGCGUAAUGGCAUUCAAUACAUGCACGAGCAUACACACACAUAUAUAUAUACACACAUAUAGGCAACGCGGCAAGGCACACCAACCUACGACUGAACCUACCAGGCCCGUUUCCGACCGGGAACAUUGCGCGCUGACAUACGUGAUGCGCGCACAGCGUUUUGGCUGUUAUCAGGAUACUAGGAUACUAUUAGUGCGCCCACGUGGCAGGCAGCUAUUGAUCUAUCGCCCGUGCCGCCUGCUGUGCCCCACCUGCCUAAAAGCCAUGGACACGAAAGCUAACCCCAAGCUCUCAAGCAAACCCCAUGGGCAAAGUCGCGCCAUCUGCCCUCCCUAAGCCCUUCACACUCUUCAUCGCUACUUUCCUGGCACCCAUGGCUCCCCCCCGGGCUCCCCACACGCCCAUGCACUGAUCCCCAAAGUAGCAUUUCCUAGCAUCUGCGGGAAUGAAACAACCAUCCAUAUGACCAUCCAUACAACCAUCCAAACAGCCUUUCCAAAACACCUUUUUCCGCACCACGGAUAUACAUAUGUAUAUAUAGGUCAUGCACUACUGGUAAAGCACACACUGAUGCCCCCGGAGGUUCCGGGAUCGAGACCUGUCGGGGUCGAAAAUUCUUCCGAUGGUGGAAGGUAAGAGUGCCCCUAGUCGAUGGGCGGUGGUGAUCUGGGAUAAAGUUGACCUGCGAGCUGACCAGAAAUGGAGUUAAGCCGCCGUUGAUCUGGCAGAUUCCGUUGGAUGCCGGUGGUGGGUGCGGAACCUGAGUGAUUCACUGAGAAGUUGACGAGGGUGACUGGAUGAGGGUGCCCCGAAAUACCAGGGAAGGCAGGGUCUGCCGGGUAGCGGCCGCAGGGUGAAGAUAUGACCCACCUGUCCCACACAUCAUAAGUAUAUAUAAAUUCCUUGAGCAGUUCUCGGCCAUACCGCCCUCUCGACCUGGUCCUUAAUUUGCAUUAAUCCAAUGCCGCAGCCUUCAUUCGUCCAUGGCUGCAAAAAGGUACAUUAUAUGUAUGCCCUCAUGCACUUCCAUCUCUCCCACACUCUAACUCCUCUCAAUACAUACGUAAGUGCGUACAAACGUACACACCCUCGAACAUAUCUUCGUACGUACAUACCUUCAUCACAUUAGACGCCGACCCGUCCCUGGAGCCGCUGGCUCGCCACCGCCAAGGCGCCCAGCUAUCUAGGACACGGAAAGCUGCCCCUCACACACCACCAAGGUAGGUGCUCAACCUCCCGCCCGCCUCGACAACAUCAACGUCGUCACAUUCAUCAUCAUCUGCACCUGCUGCUGCGGGUGCUGCAGCAGCAAUGACGGCCUGCUGCUGCUGCUGGUGCUGCUGUUGUUGCUGUUGUUGCUGUUGGUUAGUAGAAGCGGUGGUGGUGCCAGUUCGCGGCGGCUGCUCGAUGCGGUCUGUUGCCGCCCCAGUCGCUCCCCCCGCCCCACCCCCCAAUGCAUCCACCAGACGUCCUAUGUCCCGCUGAAGCGCCUCCACCUGCUCAGUGAGGCAGGAGAUCUGGGCCUUGAUCUCGUGACGGGUGUCAUUGAGGUCCGUGUUGAGAGCCUGUGCAGACAUACGGACGGACAGGCAAUGUCAACCCGCUUUGUGAUGCGCCCGGAACUUUAAAUGCAAUAUGCAAUCUGAACCCCGUGUUGCGAAGCUCCAUCUCUCUUUCCCCCCCCCCGGCAGCUAAAUCCUUCGUGCGGCGCGCGUGACUAGUCAGCUGGUUCGUUAGUGACGGUUAUUUGGUCGUUAGCCGUUGUUUGGCCGGUGUAGCAGCCGUUACUCGCCUGGCGAACCACAGUGCCCCGAAUGGUGUCCAGCAAGGAGGCGUGAGCGGGGCUGGAGGUGCGCUUGGUGUUCACCACAUGUAGCCAGCGGGGCGCGGACCUGAGCAGGCGGAGCAGCAGCCGAGGGGGGUGCGGGAGGGAGGGUGGCGUGGGGGAUUUAAGGAGGAAAAGGGGGAGGAGGGGAGGAGGAGAGGGGAGCAGUGCCGGGAAGAGGGGGGUAACGGCUAAGGAAAGGAUGAGCAGAUAGUGUGGGUGUGGGGUGGAAGGGAGGCAGCACAGCGGUCUGCGGGAAGGAGGUCUGCGCAGGAAAUAGACAUACAGACAUACUGGAGAGGGAAGGGGGGAAAGGGGUUAAGAUAUUAAGGGGGCCAUCGCCGUGUCCCUCGUUGCAGCUCAAAAAGCCCAUCAGGAUAUGUGUUCGGCAACAGGGGUUUCUUCCCACGGUUCCCCGCCGGCUGCGUGAGAAACAGGCAUACCACCAAGCAUACGCCCAUUCGUCUACCCAGCAAAGUGUCUGUCAUGUGGAUUUCGUCAUCCUUCAGUCCUGCCUGGCCUCUUCCUCCCUCGCCCCAUCCCUUCACCCUCCCUCUUCCACCCUCCCUUCCCCCGUUUUCCCUAUCCAGCCUCCUCCUCCUUUCUCACCUGCGUCUAUCCGUGAAGAAGGAAUCUGGCAUAUUGGAGUCAAUCUCCAGCACCAGUCUCGCUUUUAGAAGCAUCCACUCGCUCUUGGCGUGUUGUUUGACCACCACGUAGGUGUCCGACAUGACCGCGAUGAGCAGGUUGAGCAGAAUGAUAGAUACCAUGAAGGAGAAACUGAUCAGCAUGGCCUGCAUGUACGGGUGUGUACGGGUUCGUACGGGUUCGUACGGGUGUAUUGGUGUGAAACGGAACACCGCCACACAGGUUUACGUGGGGAGGAGAGAGAAGAGAGAAGAGACAGAGGUUGAGGUUUGGGGUUGAGAGGAGAACGUGUAGAUGGGAAGGAGUAGAGAGGAGAGGAGAGGAGACAACGAGGGUGCAGUUAGUAGGCUACACGCAUAUAUGCACACAGUUAGAUGCACACGCGGAUAACAGCCGGAAAAGGAGCACAAAUGCACACGCACUGCGUGCACAGCAUGACCCGGUAAGCACCUACAUCCGGUACACACGCGAGGACAUUUGUGAUAUCACGACUCCAAAAGAGUACUGAUCGGCGGAUGCAGAUCCCGUGAUAUGCCGCAGGACAUUACAACAUGUCCCCCUAUUCCAGAGACUUUCCUCCCCGCCCACUUUCCCCACCUCGGGCUGUCACCCCCCUGCCUGCUUAGGCCGGUACCUGCCCGACACCAGCACCCCCUUCACUCCCCUCCACCCCCCACCACCCCCACUACCGCCAACAUCCCCAACCCCAUCCUCAACACCGCAGCCAACCAUUCCCGCUCUCGGUUCGUCGCCAAGCUCGCGCCGCCGUCACAACUGUCAUCUAACCAGCAGGUCAACUAACUAACUAACUAACUCACGUGGAGGUACCAGACGUAUUUGGGCUCUCCGUCCACGUCGGUUGUGAAGCCGCCCACGGUCUAAGGAAACGGGUGGAGUGUGCAGACAACGGCGGGUCCGGGUAGUGAGUACAUCCUGCUGGACAUAUUAUAUAUGUAGAGAGAGACAUUAUACAUUACAUGGUCAUUAUAUAGAGGCAUACUUGCAUCUGAACAUGCUGCAUCAUGAUGCUGGCCUACCUGCGCUGACGAGUCCUUUUCCCUUUCACGAUUCCCACCGGCCUGGACCUCCCUUGCUCGUUUCUAAGGACCUACCUUGCGAUAUAUACCUCUGGCCCUGCCCUUCCCACGCACCCUCCCAUCCACUACCGCCCACCCUCACCCACCAUGAAGUAGUAGACCGACAGCAGGCUCUUGGGGAAGCCGUCGAAGCUCCUGGUGAACUCGGAGGAGAUACCCGCGUCAUUGUCAAUCUGAUAGUUAACAAAGGAAGAGGAGGUUAAGGGAAAGGAAUGGAAGAGGAGGGAAAGGAAGACGACAGGUGGGUCAUGUACAGGCUGGGAGCGGGAGGCGUGGAGCUGUGGAAGGGGGUUGGGUCGAGGGGGGGGGCAUUAACGGCUCGAAACCGCCGUGAUGCCGCAGAGACAGGACCCCCAAGGUACCGCUGGGGCCGCUGGGCACUUACAUCUACUAUCGACACCGCCAUCCCAACGAGGUCUUUCAACACACGCAGGCCGCACAAUUGGGCUGUGCUAAAAUUACAAGUUCCCCACACAUUUGCGAGGUUGUCCGUAAAAGCCGGGGGUCCAAGUACGGCAUAAAGUCUAUGUCGUACCUACCUGAUCGUAGUACGCCAUGAUGUGUCGGAACGCCAGCGCGUACGUGAGGAGUGUCACCAGCACGAUGAGGAGGUAGUGACGCAGGUCGGCGAUGAUGCGAAUGAUGAUCUGUACGAAGAUACCCGUGCCCUCGGACCCUGUCGAUGGGAAGGACCGCACGAGGAUGGACAUACAUACAUACAUACAUACAUACAUACAUACAUGGACAUACAUGCAUACAUGCAUAUAUGCAUCAUACGUACCGCAUCCAGUAUAUGAGUCUAAGCUUUGCAGCCCCGUUUUCACCCUCGCUCUGUCCUAUCCGGCACCUCGAACGGCACCUCGAACGGCACCUCGGACGGCACCUCGGACGCAAGAACUGUACAGCUGCAAGCCAUGAAGUCUACAGGACAUAAACACUGAUAUUAUUGUAUCCGGGUACAUCACGGGGUCGGCAUCCGCCGGUGCUUUUCCGAAGUCGUGACGUAACAGAUAUACACACGCACAAUACCGCCAUCCCUCCCCCCCCGCACUGACCUGACGCCACUUUGAGCAGUCGGGUGCCGAGAAGGAUGGUGCAGGCGGACAUCACCCACCGAGCCUCUUCCAGCCCGAUAACCUGAUAGGUGAAUGUCGCCACAGGAGGGGAGUGGGGAGAGAUUUGCAGGAUGAGCAGAACCACACAAGGGGAUACAGCGGGCGGAGCCCUACUGCCGACCUCCAAGAAGCCGGGGAAUGUGGAGGUGGAGGUGGGAAAAGGGAGCAUUAGCAGCAAUUGCAUUAGCAGCACUAGCACCAGAAGCAAUUGCAUUAGCAGCACUAGCACCAGAAGCAAUUGCAUUAGCAGCACUAGCACCAGAAGCACUAGCAGCAGUAGCACUAGCAGCAGUAGCACUAGCAGCAGUAGCACUAGCAGCAGUAGCACUAGCAGUAGUAGCACUAGCAGCAGUAGCACUAGCAGUAGUAGCACUAGCAGUAGUAGCACUAGCAGUAGUAGCACUAGCAGUAGUAGUGAGCGCAGCAGCAACUGCUUCACCUGCUUCCGCCAAGAUUGAUCGAAUGAAAUGCAAAUGGACUGAUGAUAGUAGCAGUACUUCGGAAACUUGGCUGGAGGUUCCCUGCACACGCGGAUGAUAUGCGCGGCAGCGGAAGGCGGUUCGGCCCCCUAAACCCUCCUCUUCCCACCCAUACGCUCCUGCGCUACGCGUGCUGCGGUGGUUUUUUGCCGUUUACCCUUUCCCCCCCCCAGCCCCCUUCCCCUUUGCUGCAUAUUAGUUGCUAUUCUCCUUCCCCCCACACCAACCCCCACCUGCAGCACCACCACCAACUUGACCAUCAAGCACGACAGCAGCUCCACCCAGUUCCAAGCAGAGUUAUGACCUGCGACGAUGAAGUGCCGAAGUGUCAGGAAAACAACAAAACACAGUGCCAGGCCCUCUAUCCCCACCCCGCCGAGGGUGCAGCUGUUGCCCUUGGAGAGCCUAGGCUUGGGUGUGGCUUCUCGAAUGGGUAGGGUAGAGCAGGCUCAUGAAAGGCAUGAACAAAGACAGACUGUCCCCCCCCACACACAGCUUCGGUAAAGUUGCCAUCUCCGCGUGCCACUUCCUGCUCCCCACGUCCUUCCCCCUACUCAGUUUAUUGAAACACACGUGGCACACACAUGCGGAGCCAAGCCACCGUCACACGGGCAACAAAGGCGAUUAUCCGGACAAUAAUAAGAAAGGGGACACCCAGAUGUCCGGGCCUUGCCGUCGACAAAGGGAACACCGACAAACAUGCAUACAUGCAAACCUUUUUGUGCAAGUACAGGGAGACGUACAUACAUGCAGACAAACACAGGGAAUGUACAGACACACGCACCUGUGAAGUACUGCACCGGGCCGUGUCUGGAGAUCUGGACAAUCUCCUCCCACAGGUACCGCGCAUUAAGCAGCAAGACGCAACCCUCCAGAAGAAUCCGUACUGCCACACGUGUACGAGUCGUACCGUGCCCGUACAUCUCCUCCCUGCUAACCGCCUCGCUCCACUGCACGCCCAGCGUGGUGGCGGUGAUGUACAGCACCAUAAAGAUGCCGUACACCAGAGCUUGUUGCCGGUAGAUGCCGCCUGAGUGAUUGUACGAAAUGUUGUACGGAAGGUAACAAAUUUGAGAGUUGAGAGACAACGGCACCAUAAUAGGAAUACGAAGAAGUUGGGUUUCGGCGGCUUUGAAGACGCGGCGGCCAUCCCCAUGUCCCGGUCCUAACCCCCCACCCCACCCCACACACACAUUGGGUUUCAUUCUCCGACCGGCCCCGACCCAGUGUUUUUUUUUGGUAAUAUAUUACUUUUUUGGGAAUAAAUGGGGGUCUGAGCCUGGAAGAAAUGGAAUAAUUGGUCAGUUGGCCGUACUGGUUCAUUACUUCGGCCAUAAGUCGCCCCAAAUGCCUUCUGCACAUAUAAAGCUGACCAUUUGGAGCUUAUACACUAUUUAUGUAUAAAAUAUUUCACGAUAUCACCAUGAGACGGCCCGCUGUUGCAUUCAACUUAGGUCAACGGGGCAUUCGUUCAUUUUUGACCAAAGCAAACGGCUCAGAAAGUCCGCAGACGCAAUGCCCCAAACAUUUAGAAGAAGAAUUAGAUAAUACAGAAGACAAUAAUAGGCAUGCCGUAGUUGCCGCUCUUGAAGUCAGUGAAGCCAGCGAUUUGAGCGAAGCUGAGGAUCCCCCGGCGAAGCGGCAACACACAACUGCAGCAAUCAGCGGCUCAGCUGAGCAGCUUGAUUCUGACGAGGAAGGGCCACCGCCCCAAGAUGUCGCCACGGCACAACCACCACCUUCAAGGGCGGGUGCUUCGCAGCACGCACCGCUGGUGAUUCAAAAGCAGGCGCGGCGCCAGCAAACACAGUGUGUGCCGAAAGGCCAAAGCGAUGGGACGUGCAGUGUGUUUCCAGACGUCAAGUGUUGUUUACAGCACACCGUACAGCCUUUGAGGGGGGGAUCUGGGGGGGGCGCAGNNNNNNNNNNNNNNNNNNNNNNNNNNNNNNNNNNNNNNNNNNNNNNNNNNCCCAGCGACUAUACAAAAAGGAAUUGUAACCGCAAGAAACACCCAGUUUAUUACUCUAGGGUAUUAGGCCCCAAACGAAAAAAAAAACACUGCCCCGACCCCCACCCCCCCCCCGACCUGCACCCAGCCACCACCUCACACCUGCGUAAGUGUCCCACUUGUAAGUGAGCAUUGCAAACCCAAUAUCGGUGGUGAAGGCGUCGCUGACGUUGUUGAGUACCAGCGCACCCAGCGGCGACUCCGCCAUGGAUCGAGUCGUAAGUGCCACGUACGGCAGUCCACACACGCCGGGAACAGCAGGCUGCAUAACCGAUGGGGGCUCGUGACUGCGUGGCGGCGGCGGCGGUGGUGGCGGUGAGGGUGACGGUGGCGGCGGCGGCGGUGACGACGGUGGCGGCGGCGGUGGCCGUGACGGUGACAGUGGCGGUGACGACGGUGGCGGCGGCGGUGGCCGUGACGGUGACAGUGGCGGUGACGGUGGCGGUGACGGUGGCGGUGACGGUGGCGGUGACGGUGGCGGUGACGGUGGCGGUGACGGUGGCGGUGACGGUGACGGUGGCGGUGACGGUGGCGGUGACGGUGACAGUGGCGGUGACGGUGGCGGUGACGGUGGCGGUGACGGUGGCGGUGACAGUGGCGGUGACGGUGGCGGUGACGGUGGCGGUGACGGUGGCGGUGACGGUGGCGGUGACGGUGGCGGUGACGGUGGCGGUGACAGUGACGGUGACGGUGGCGGUGACGGUGGCGGCGGCGGCAGUGAUGACGGCGGCGGCGGUGGUGGCGGUGACGGUGACGGUGGCGGCGGCGGCGGCGGUGACGGUGGCGGCGACGGCGGCGGUGGCGGCCAUACAUACAUAUGCACGCCCGCACACGCACACAGCCACACACAGACGUCAGGACAUCACACGUCGCCGUCAUGUCACGUGAUUCGAUUGCAGUCGAUUCCCACAUAGCAUAGGCCAGGUCAUGACGCGCGUGCCGUACCAUGCCGUACCACAUUCACGUGUCACGUCAUGUGGCAGGAGGAGCGGGGCAGCAGGAAGGCAGCAGCGAGCGGGUUCAGAUGCGGAUAGAACGGUGUUGUGGACGAGGUGAGGAGCAUGGGGAAAGUCUAGUUACAAGUUACAAGUCCCGCACGCAAGUGCGGGUGUCUCCGUACAAGCCAGGGGGGGGCCAUGGACGUCUGCAAGGGGACACGGCGAGGUACCAACACUGUGUGCGGGGAGUUCCACCACUCCAUCCCCCUCCCUGAUACAACAACAGCGCACCUGCUCCGACAAGACCUCCCCCCCACCAGCUCCGUCAAACACACUGCCACCCACCGUAUGAGGUGCUUGGCCCAGCGCCAAGUCAACGACAGCGCGCCGCGGCGAUGCGUGCGCUUCUUGACGCCGCCGCCAGCACCCCCCGAGGAGCUGCCGCCGCCGCCGCCGCCGCCGCUGCUCCGGACCGCGGCGGCGCCAUCCGCAGCGGCGGCGGCGUGGGCAAAAAUGACGGUAGCUGGGCUGCCACCCUUUUCUUGGUCAGCAUUGCCGGCAUGGUCCUGUUCCACCGCCUCCAUCUCCCCGCCUGCUGUCGUGCCCUCCUCCACCUCCUCCAGCUCCUCGUCGCUGACACCGCCGCCCCCAUGUCGCAGCAACACCUCCUCCCACAGCUUCUCAUUCACCGCGUAGGCCUGAGCAGAAUACGAAUGGAACACGUGGGCGUGUCCAAUCGUAUCAUGUGUCGUAUUACUUGUCGUACCAUGUCAUGCCCCCCACUUCCACUCAACGCUGCCACUUCCACCAUGCUGCACCGUCUCAAACACAAGAUGAUGGUUCGAGUGCCCUAAGAGGUUUUAGAUGCGCACCCUUACAUGUCGCACCCAUACCUCCCUCCAAUGGCGCCCCCCCGUCUCCACCACACAACCGAGCUCUGUUGCUUAGGGUUUAGGGUUUGUUCACCACCUUCACUCCACCACCACUACCACGGCCUCUCGCAUGUCUUCACACACGCCCACAUUUACCACCACCUCACAACCCCACCACCUUACCCCCUCACCCCAGCACACACACCUGCGACCCGCACGUGAUGAGGUGGGUGCCCUCCCGCACCGGCACCAUGACGGCGCUGCUGCCCACCGCGUCCGUCGGCUCCUCUAUCCCCACUGCAUUCAGAAACUUGACCAGCACGGACGGCAUGUCCGCAGCCAGACGAGACCAGGCCUGUGUGUGCGCGGACGACCCGUGGGUCAUUGUGAGCAAAUCCGUGGGUCCUCGUCAAGCUAACGACCCGUGCGUCCUUCAAGGGGUGACCCGUGGGUCAUAGCUACACGUAACGACGAGUUGCAUGGGUCCCAUGAUAGUCAUGAUGCACACCACAGCAGUCCCCUCAUUAACUCAGGGGCGCAGGGAGUCUUCCGGGGCUGACAGGGUCGACGGGGACUGACAGGGUCGACGAGCCAGCACAGCAGGAAGAGUUGUACAGCGGACUUUCCCGGCAUGUAGGUAGCACAGCGGCGCGCGGCACACCUUUUCGUUUCACGCCCAGUGCUUCCCUUCAGUGCAAGGGACACACAGCUUGCUCCCAUUGCCUCCCCCGUGUCAUCCUUCCCCUCCCUCUCCCCUUUCCCCCUCUCCUAUAUUUACCUAACAUUAUUAUUUUCCCGCCAGACUCCUCUCCCUUCCUUUCCCCCCCUCUUAUACCUUCAUCGCAGCUAGCCUCAGCGGUGGCGGUCUGGACACCUCGUUGGCCAGCAGCAGCUCCACGCACUGGAGGUUGCGCACAUCCAGCGCCAGGUCCAGGGGGGUCUUACCCUCGCCGUUGGCGGGUAGCGGUGCGGAGGUAAUGGCCGCACCGUGGCUCAGCAGCACACGGAGGAACUCCACCUGCCCGCCCACUGCCGCCCUGCAGAGGUGUGUAUGUAUGUAUAUAUGUAUGUUGUUACAGGGUGGUUAACUUCGCCAGCGGCCCCUUUCCCGGGCAGUCCCUGCUCUCCCCUGCUAGAGGGGCACCCUAAUCCGUCACCCCAUCCGACUUCAGAAUGUAUUCGUUGGGUUCGGCAACUCACCAUCAGCAUCCAACCAAAUCUAGCGGAUCAACGGCGCAUCAACUUAGUAUAUAUGUAUGUAUAUGUAUAAGUGUAUGUAUGUAUGUAUGUAUGUAUGUAUGUAUGUAUGUAUGUAUGUAUGUAUGUAUGUAUGUAUGUAUGUAUGUAUGUAUGUAUGUAUGUAUGUAUGUAUGUAUGUAUGUAUGUAUGUAUGUAUGUAUGUAUGUAUGUAUGUAUGUAUGUAUGUAUGUAUGUAUGUAUGACGUUGAUUACACUGUGGGCUGAAAAGCCGGGGGCCCCGGGCCGAAGCACAGCGCGGGGGGCGGGUGCAUACGGCUGGUUAGUCUCAUGCACUCCGCCCCCGGGUCAGGCCGCACGGGAAACGACGGCCGGCACGCAACAGCGCUUGUUUGGCGCUCCAACUAGACGGGAUCUAUGCCCGUUGGUCUCCUAACAUAAACGAAGUCGCAACUGGGGGGCUCUAUGUAUGUAUGUAUGUAUGUAUGUAUGUAUGUAUGUAUGUAUGACUUAGAUUACACUGUGGGCCGCGAGAGCCGGGGGCCGAAGCCGAAACACAGCGCAAGGGUCGGGAGCACACAGCACAAGUCGGUUAGUCUUGCGUGCUCCCGACCCCGACUCAGACUGCCAACACUCUACGCAGCCACUCCGCAGCCACCCCAUCUGGGGAUGGCGCUGCAGUGAAAACACCACGAAGGGCUCUCAGGUCCCGCUAGAGCGAGUCCACAAGUCUCAGCUAGGGCAUGUAUGUAUGUAUGUAUGUAUGUAUGUAUGUAUGUAUGUAUGUAUGUAUGUAUGUAUGUAUGUAUGUAUGUAUGUAUGUAUGUAUGUAUGUAUGUAUGUAUGUAUGUAUGUAUGUAUGUAUGUAUGUAUGUAUGUAUGUAUGUAUGUAUGUAUGUAUGUAUGUAUGUAUGACGUUGAUUACACUGUGGGCUGAAAAGCCGGGGGCCCCGGGCCGAAGCACAGCGCGGGGGGCGGGUGCAUACGGCUGGUUAGUCUCAUGCACUCCGCCCCCGGGUCAGGCCGCACGGGAAACGACGGCCGGCACGCAACAGCGCUUGUUUGGCGCUCCAACUAGACGGGAUCUAUGCCCGUUGGUCUCCUAACAUAAACGAAGUCGCAACUGGGGGGCUCUAUGUAUGUAUGUAUGUAUGUAUGUAUGUAUGUAUGUAUGUAUGACUUACAUUACACUGUGGGCCGCGAGAGCCGGGGGCCGAAGCCGAAACACAGCGCAAGGGUCGGGAGCACACAGCACAAGUCGGUUAGUCUUGCGUGCUCCCGACCCCGACUCAGACUGCCAACACUCUACGCAGCCACUCCGCAGCCACCCCAUCUGGGGAUGGCGCUGCAGUGAAAACACCACGAAGGGCUCUCAGGUCCCGCUAGAGCGAGUCCACAAGUCUCAGCUAGGGCAUGUAUGUAUGUAUGUAUGUAUGUAUGUAUGUAUGUAUGUAUGUAUGUAUGUAUGUAUGUAUGUAUGUAUGUAUGUAUGUAUGUAUGUAUGUAUGUAUGUAUGUAUGUAUGUAUGUAUGUAUGUAUGUAUGACGUUGAUUACACUGUGGGCUGAAAAGCCGGGGGCCCCGGGCCGAAGCACAGCGCGGGGGGCGGGUGCAUACGGCUGGUUAGUCUCAUGCACUCCGCCCCCGGGUCAGGCCGCACGGGAAACGACGGCCGGCACGCAACAGCGCUUGUUUGGCGCUCCAACUAGACGGGAUCUAUGCCCGUUGGUCUCCUAACAUAAACGAAGUCGCAACUGGGGGGCUCUAUGUAUGUAUGUAUGUAUGUAUGUAUGUAUGUAUGUAUGACUUACAUUACACUGUGGGCCGCGAGAGCCGGGGGCCGAAGCCGAAACACAGCGCAAGGGUCGGGAGCACACAGCACAAGUCGGUUAGUCUUGCGUGCUCCCGACCCCGACUCAGACUGCCAACACUCUACGCAGCCACUCCGCAGCCACCCCAUCUGGGGAUGGCGCUGCAGUGAAAACACCACGAAGGGCUCUCAGGUCCCGCUAGAGCGAGUCCACAAGUCUCAGCUAGGGCAUGUAUGUAUGUAUGUAUGUAUGUAUGUAUGUAUGUAUGUAUGUAUGUAUGUAUGUAUGUAUGUAUGUAUGUAUGUAUGUAUGUAUGUAUGUAUGUAUGUAUGUAUGUAUGUAUGUAUGUAUGUAUGUGUGGAUACUAUUAAUAACGUUUUGGGGUAGCUGAAGCAACGGCCCAUCACGGGGGCCCUUCGUUGACAGGCCAAACAACAAGAGAGAGGAGGCACGGGCCCCCUUCCACUGCAGUAAGGAGCAGCCUCGGGGACGAGAGCACAGAACAGCGCCCUUACUCCCCUCCCCUCCAUCGUUUGUCCAUCUCCUCGAGACCCAGAUCUGUCUGCAACACACACUCACGCAGCCCUCUACCCAGCUACCUGUUCCCCUACCUCGUCCCCCUAUAUUCCUAUCCCGGGUUUCCCAGGUUGACUAGCCGCGCAUUUCCUCGCCCGCCCGGGGCCCCCCGCCCGCCCUUACACACGCACGUGUGCAGCAGCGUGUUUCCGUCCGGCAUGGGCACCACCGCCAGACCCGGGAAGGUGUCGGCCAGUUUGAUCACAUGCUGCAGGUCCCACAGACCAGAUUUCAUCUCCUCCAGGAGCUGGGGAUGGGGACACGAGGAGGAGGAGAAAAGAUAAGAAAAUGGGAAGAGAGGGGAGGGGAGGGAGGCGAUGAGUAGUACAAACCCAGCUCCUAAUAUACCACCACUCCCGAUAUACGACCCAGCUUACGAACUCACGCCUUUUCGGCGCACUCUAGAACGUAUUUAGGAACGGCUCUUGGGAACCUUUUUUUGAGCAAGAAGGCCUUCUCCCCAAGGUGCCCGCCGUCACCCUGAUAACACCCCACCACCACCACCCCGGCCCCAAAACACAGACUCACACACGUACAGACACACCUGCCGCGGCAAAGGUUGCCGAACAGAGAGGUUCAGUACGGCAACACGUGCGUUGAGCGACACCGCCAGCACCGGCGGAAACCUGGGUCCCGCGACCCCGGUACGCAGCGGCAUGGGCCUGAUCUUCUCGGCGCCGUCCUGCUUGCCGAUGGGGCCCGCUACCAGCAGAGGCACGGAUGUCCCGGACUGCGACAACGGUGACGACGACGACGACGACGACGAAGAAGAAGAAGAAGAAGAAGAAGAAGAAGAAGAAGAGGAGGAAGAAGAAGACAAAGACACACAAGUAGGGUGGCGUGUGGGGGAGUGGGUUCCCAUCCCGGGUCAGGUCACGCCACGUCACGUCAGUUCAGGAGGGUAGCCUGACGGAUCCCCCGUCAAGGAGGGCAUUGGACUUGCUGCAGUGCCAUUGGCCUUUUGGCAUCUUUCCUCCCCUUUCCCGUAGUAACGGGUGCUUGGCUUUCUACAUAGUCAUCAUCCAAUUAUGUGCCAUGAUGCCGCUUCCAUCCUGCAGCUCCUCAUUACUCCCCCACACCCCUUUUCCCACCCAGCCUCCCCCUUUCUUGCCCUCCCCCUUUCGAAUCCUCCCUUCGGCAGUAGAAGUCCUCACUCGCGGCAUCAAGGAUCAAGGCAAUGCCAAUACAUUCCCCCUGAGGCGUCGUUAUAUUAAGAACAAAGGGGCAAAGCAAAGCAGGUGUGCGCCCUGGUGUAGGCCGCUGUGGGGUUGCCCCUUGAACAUAUGCAAAAGCAUACAGAUUUACAUACACACGCACUCAGUGCUCCCGAGACCGUGCUCACCUUAAGAUUGAAACCCACAAUAGUGCCAUCCCUGGCGCUUGUCACGAUCCAUGUCGGAUGUACGAAAUUGAUGUACGACAUUGUGCCUCGGUGGUCGCGAAUGAUGUGCAGCACGUUGCCUUUUGCCACGUUCCAGAUGCGCACGGUGUUGUCGUUUGAGGCGGUGGCGAGGAUCUUCUCAUCGGGUGAGAGGGCCGCGAAACGCACCCAGUGCUCGUGCCCAACGAAGCGCUGGAUGACCUCGCCUGCGUGAGUGCGUUAAUAAAUGACCCAGAUGGCCCAUUGGUGUCACGCACAGCGGCAGCGGCAGCACGAGCAGAGCAGGUGGGCCGCAAAACACUUUGCUAGUAUGCGCACUCGUUACGCUUCUGCAAAGGGUAACGCUACUCAAGGUGAAGUCCAUCCACCCCUCCCUCCCUCCACCCCUCCAUCCAUCCAUCCAUGCACACAUUCUCUCCCCCAGUCCCCUCCCCAGCUCACCCGACUGCAGCUCAAAGAUGGCGGCUGUCUUGUCACAAGACACCGACACGCACCGCAGCCCGUCGGGGGUGAACCAGGCGUCGUAGAUUCCCUCAUUGUGGAUCUCGUCGUACUUCCGUAGCAUCUUGCCCGUGUUGAGGUCCCACAGACAUGUCCACUUAUCCCAGCCGUCAGCCGUGGUGAGCAUCUGGUCAAAUCUCUCGUUGACCUGGGGACACACGAUGUCCUGAGAGUGCGCCGUGUCGAUCAUCUGGGGCAGCAAGGGGGGUUGCGGAGAGGGGGGGAGGGAGGGAGGGGGGGAGGGAGGGAGGGAGGUCAGUGGGGAGAUGAUUCAAGAGAAGUGGCGCAGGAAGGUGAGCGCUGGGAUGAGAGAGGAAAAAAAGAAAGAGAGAGAAAGAAAGAAACAAAACAAACAUACGCGCAUAUUUUCUACCACAUGUCGCUGGUGACUAUCUAUUCGGAGCUCUCGCUUCUUGGUGUGAUGAAGUUGUACCACCGUGUACCACCCGCCCUAUCGACAUUUCCCUCGUCGCGGAGCUCCGGAAAUCGAUCAUUAAAACACGAUGAUUUAAUGAUAAAUGAUUUAAUGAUAAAUGACUUAAUGACAUGUUAUAUGUAAGUGUAUAUAUACUGUAUAUAUAGUCUGCGCGUACCGUUGUUUGACCGCAUGCAUUGCUCCUUACUGCGCUUACCCGUAUGAGCUGGCGCUUGGCCAGGUCGAACAGCCGGACCUUCCGGUCCCCGCCCGCGGUGACCAUCUUCCCGCGCAUUGGACGGCUCUCCCCCACACCGCCACCAUCCGGUACCAACCCCGCAUCACCACUAGCCACGAGGUACAGGCCGUACGUGCCCUUGUGUGCAGUACAGUGGUUCCAGACGAGCUCCCCCGUCACGAAGUCGUACAGGUGCAGCUCUUCUGUACGUCGGAAACGUGUACGACGGGUGUGUGUAUGCGUUAGGUGUCCUUUUCGCGGCUUGCAUGAUCGCGGGGGGCGUGGAUGCGGUGGUUAACAGAGUAGGAAAGGGAAGCUUCCAGGACGAAUGGAAGCAAGGGUGGAGGAGAAGGAGGAGAAAGGCUUCACUUGCGCUAUGAGAGGGGAGGGGAGGGGGGGGAGGAGAGGAACCCAAAAUGCAACCACCGCAGCCCACCUCCGUGUAGUAGUUUGUUGCAUCUAUGAACUAGCUAUGCAUCAUUUCCUUGGCAGCUUUAUGUUUUGGGCGGUAAAAAUUCAUCAAGCAGGCACGCAGGCAGACACGCAGGCGAGCACCACCCUCCACAGCUUUGCUACCGCUGCAAUCGUUUCACCAUCGAGCCUCACCCUGGAAGCGGCCCGCCUUAUAAAUGACGAACAACAGCGUCCCGUCGCGCGACACGUCAGCGUCGUACACGUCUUGCAUCCGCUCAUCCCGCCACAGUGCGUCAUCAAAGCUGUCCCCAUUCAUGUUGAACACGCGGAUGCUUCCAUCCGCAAACACCGCCCCGAACCGCGUGGGAAAGCCGAACUGCGGCCCAUCCACCGGCGCCACGCGGCUACCGGUCCGACCAAAACGGAUGCUACGAUGACCUCCAGCGGCAUCGCCGCCGCCGCCGCUGACCUUGCCACUACUGUUGCCGCCGCCGCCGCCACCGCCGCCACCGCGGGUGAUACUGCCGAUGCUGCUGACGCUACCAGCGCUGCUCCUGGCAACCAGUGCUGCCUUGGUCUUGCGCUGCUCCGCCGCCGCCUUCUCCUCCGGAUCGAUACUGUAGUACCGAUCCAGGAAGCCCGCGUGGAGACCGACGGCGGCGGCGGCGGCGGUAGUAGCAGUAGCAGUAGCAGUGACGGCGGCGGCUCCAACGCCGCCGGCGAUGCUGUUGCCGCUCAUGUUCCCGUCGCUUAUUGUCACCGUGCACUUGCUAGGAGAGUGCUUGGUUGGGGAGCCGCCGCCACCGCCGCCACCACCGGCGGCAGCUGUAGCGCUGCUGUAGCCUGGGGUGUCCGAGAGGAAGAAGCAGCCCAUCGCGGUGUUGAAGGUACCCGGUUCCUGCGGGGCGGUCCCAAGCAGGGCCACGAGGUGCAUUGGUUAGUCCCGGUUAGUUAGGUCCCAUUUUAGUACCAUUCAAAUACACCAGUGAAUGGUAACAGCAGUAAUAGGACCCGAGGGGUCCAUGGCGCUUUGCUGACUCUUAAUAGGGCACCCACAGGCGCGGCUCAGCGUCAGCACGCGGCCGUGUUUCGGCUGUGUUUCGAGAGCUGGUGCCACACGGAGACAUGAGAAUGGAAACUAGAACUCAACAAGGCAGGUCGGCAAUGAGGUGGGAGGGGUGAGUGACGGCCCCCAUUGACAACCCGGGUUUGUCUUCAGAGGAAUCCCCCAACCCCCCAUACCCACCUGGCUGCAGUGCACGCGAAGGAGCUCUUGGCCGUAUCUUGACUCCACAAGCACCAGCUCGCCAAGGUCGUACCCGCCAACCUGCAGCCGUACAUUUCCGAACGCAGUGCAAUGUGUCACGUUUCCCGGGGACAGACACUAGACGGUAGGCGACGUACAUACGUAUUACAUACAUAUAUACAUAUAUACAUGCAUACGUCCAUACCCUCCAGGAAUAUUUACAGCAGUGGAGCUUGCAUGUCAACCGGAGAGGUGGCCCGGUGCACGUGCCGAGGGUUUAAUAGGUACGAGUGCAGGUAGAGGCCGAUUCCAUAUACUUCUGUAAUCACCAUCAUCAUCAUCAUCAUCAUCAUCAUCAUCAUCAUCAUCAUCAUCAUCUCAUUUAUCCACACCAGCUCGCCGCCCAAAUAUAAACCGAACACCCCGCACAUCCCCUUCAUUGCUCCUCCUGGAUGCAGAGGAGCUUCAUCACAGAGGCCUCUUCCGCCCACCCCGCCUGCACCCCAGAGACCCUAGGACGUCCGCAGCUCAACCACACAAUAAGAGCUCACGGUCCCCGACAGUUGCUGACAGUGGCAGCAGGGUUGAGAUGCGGUGAUGGUGGCGGAGAAGAGUGCAGCCCCGCCCAACCCGCUCAGUUGGCUCAUAGGUCCUUCUGUUCCAGUGCAGACCCGGUUGUCCUGGACUCCUCCCAGGUCCACAGCCGGCUAGUUAGACAGCCAGCACCACUACCUCCCCCCGUUCCAUCCCCAGUCCUUAACUCCCAGCCCACCGGCCAACCGCCUUGCCCCGUGUCCCGCACCCUUUCCCACCAGAAUGAACAGGCCGCAGGGGCUGAAGCGGCAGCAGCUACGUGACCCCACGUUGAACUUGGUGCUGUAGCGCUGCACCCCGGACUCGAUGUCCCACACGAACAGUAUGCCGUGGACGCCGGUCACUGCCGCAAGACCGGCGGGUCCACUGAUGGCGCACACAUCCAGCCAGCCGCUGUGGUCCGUGGGCGAGUGCAGCACCUUGCCACUUUCCGGACUCCAGAUGAUGACGGAAGAGCGCUCCGGCUCCAGCUCCCCGGAGGUAAUGGCGCGCAUACCGUCCUCCGUUACGGCAGAGCCGUACACCUGUGCCGUACAUGGUAAGUUGGGGCUUUGAGUGCGAUAUUUGAUGAGGAUGCUUGAAGUGGCCUUGAUGGCCUGCUGCUAACUUCAAUGGUAAAAGGACUGAUGCAUGCACUGGCCCACGUCGUCCUGGUCUUCCUUCAGAGGAGUUGGUUCCCACGCUUCAGGCUUCCAUAUACCCCCAAGCCAGGCCCCACAAACCCUGCUCAUGCGCCUGCUCAUGUGCCUGCACACCCCAAUGGUUCGGAUGGAUGCAUUAUUGUACGGAAGUAGUACAAAGCGGUAAACCCGGUCCCCAGCCCCGGGGGGCCCCCGCUCCCAGUCCGCUCCUAGCAACUGGGACCCGUUCUUAGGGGGGAGUCAGCUGCUGCAAGUACGGUUUCGGAGGGGGCCCCGUGCAGCUACCUCCUAAUCACCUCGCAUUCAUGGUCUUCGAACGUCCGCACAACGGUCAUGUUGGAGGUGUCCCAGAUCUUCACGGUAAAGUCCUUGGAAGUGGUCAUGAUGCGUGCGCCGUUGAGAUACACGGACAUGCUGGUUACCUCCGCAGUGUGCUUGUCCUCCUGUGCCACGCAGGAAGCCUGCCAAGCACUGGACUCCCCAGGCUCCUGCGGUGUGCUCAUGACACAUGGGUUAAGGACAACGAUAGCGAUGACCAUGAAUCUUGUGCUGUGUUCGUAUGUGCGCUAGGGUGGGCUGAGGUACGGCUGAGGCGCGACCUCAGGAUCAAAUUCAUUUGGCUCGCAAAAAAUUGGGCCGUUGGCUUUUAAGAGGUCCAAAGGAAAGGAAGAACAUAGCAAGAGCAAAGGUGAACUGGUUUCCCAUGGAAUUGAGUUUGCUCCGGAAAGUCGAACUAACCAGGACAGAGGGUACGCGUGCUGCUGGCGUGUGAAGUACAGCGGGAAGGUUUUUAGGUGAUAAAUCUGAAUACCAUGAGUAACAUAGAUCGUGAAUUACUGCUGUGUGAUUUUUGAAGUGUUCCGUAAUCGGACAUGGCAAGGCUUCUUACCUUGGCAAGCCUCCAUAGCUGGACAGAUCCCUCAGCAUUGCUGGUGCAAAAUGCAUCUGUGCUGAUCGCCCUGCAUGCCGUAAUUGUAGACUGCCUCAACUGAGUAGACGACCGUUGCCUCGUGGAUUCGAUUUCACUGGGCAAAUACUUCCACAGUAAACGGCUACUGCCUACUUCCCAUAAAGACAUGUGGUUCUCGCUGCCCGAGAUAAGGAGUGCUUCCCCCACUUUUGGGAGUACAAUUAGGUCGCAAGACGUCAGGCGUGUGUUGCUCACAGGAAUCCAUCUUUGGAAAUCAGUAUUUUGCGGGCUCCGCUUCCAGCUGUAAGAGUUCUCUACUAAAGACGCUGGAGACUUCACCGUCGACAUCCGGCACGGUCGGGGGUAUAAAUCUUAGCUGAUAUACAUCCCUAUUAUUAUAAUAGAAUUUAACAUUAUAAUUCAAACUUCGUGAAACUGUAUAGACCAGGCCAAGACACCGACGCCUGGCAAGGAUAUGCGUGCUCACUGCAGGCCGGACAGUACUAUUUUCCUGGCACAUGAAAAUUCCAAAAAAACGCUUUACAAGGCUUGGCUGGUUCGUACGUUUGAACUAUCACAGAGCAAGUACUUGCGGCGCGUACAACAAGUGUACCUUGACAUUUUACAGGCAUGCUCAGAUAGGCAGGGCCUCCAGAUAGGUCAGGUUUUGCAACGUAAUAUCUCCUAUCCUAAACUUCCUUCGGCAUGAUUGAAUAACAUAACCGUUUGAACGCAUGUUGGAGGGGCUGGGGCCGAACAUGUUUAGGUUUUGGUCUCCAAACUCACUGCGCCAACCAUCCUCACCUGUUCACCUGUUGAUAACACACGUCGCUCACGUAUGUCUGGUUCCUUGGGCAUGGGACAGGACGCCGCAGCAGAAAUGAAGCCAUACGGCGGCGUUUUACUUACUGCAAAGUUUGACGGAACGGAAAAGAGCAGCGCCAUAACGGGUAUAGACUUCCUAAGCCAUAGCUCUUUACAACUCCUCACGGUCAUCAAACCUGUUGUCACCACUGUAUUCUCUGCAUAGUACUUCCUGCACUUCUUUAGCUUCACGUCGCGCUUAGGAUUGCAGCAGAAUCCUGCACAGAUUCAUAUAGCACCGCACGUUGCUUCAUAAAACCAUAAAUUAUGCUAUUGCUCAAGCACCUGCGUAUACUUGCAUGAACAUUCGAUCCCCUCCCCGCCCAUUCACACACCUAAUCACCAUUCACUAUGUACACAGAUAACAACAGAUGGCCAAUUCCCUACCCCCCGCCCAACCCAUCCUCUCGCUCGAUCCCCCUGCAUCUACCCAUCCACCACGCUAACCGUCCGUGCUGAGCUACCCGACCAGAUUGAGAAAAUGAAUCCCCCAACAACCCCCUCCGUUCCCAACCCCGUCAUCCCCCCACGCCCAACUGGAACCAGCUCGGGUACAACGUCGGCACACCCGGCCGGCCCAUCUCCUCCACUUCCUGGAUGACCGCCCGGAUCCUCUCCCACUCCUCCUUGCCUCUGCUGCAGAUUAGGUCCCGGUGCUUCCGUAGCAGCAGCGGCAACCUCCUCGCCCCGACCCGCUGCGCCUGCUGUGGCUGCUGCUGCUCGGUACCCGGUCCGGCCGUCUCUUGGCGCUCAGGUCCUAACACCGACUCCGCCGCCGCGCUGCAGUCGUAGGCCACGCCGCCGCCGCCGCUAGACAGCCGUUCGUACGCUAGAUACAUCGCCGCCAGGCACUCUUCCGGCGUGCCUACACACUCGAAGGGUUUGUGUCCCGCAAGGCCCAUCAGCGACUCGAACACCGGCACGUGACGCUCCGAGUCGUACAUGUCGUACACGCCCCGCAGGGACUCGGUGCGAGAGCCAGGUACAAUAGGGCUGCUGGUUGCGUCGCACCCGCGGCUGCUGCUGCCGCAUUCGCGGUCGCCGUGCCCAUCAUCACCGUCCCCGUUACCAUCACUACAAGUGCCGGGCUCAGCAGCCCCGGGCUCCGAAACCACCUCCACUUCGAAGAUUUUAGACAUGAUAUCCGGCACUGGCAGAAAGGCCGCGAAGAGCAGGAACACGAAGGCGCACUUCUCGCAUCCACCGCACCUGAACAAGAGAGGCGACCAGAGUAAGUGCGGUAAUUGCGGUUGUGUGCUGUUUGUGGCGGGGAAAGGCCGUUCAGGAGGGGAGGUGGGCUGGCUGUCUCCGAGGAGAGGCGUGCAGAUGUCAUGAUACGCGUCGUGGUGCACGUGGGUGUAUAGCAAGGAGGGCUGUGGGAACCCGGAACUGACAGGACUGCAAGACUACAUUUCCAUAAUAAGCCUCUUGUAAGCCUCUUCUUCCUUCCCUCUACAACAACCUAGUAUCCCGCCUCAAGAAGAGCUCCUCCACAAGGACCCUAAAACUGCGGGGGCAGAGGAGAAGGGGUAAAGUGUUAUUUAUUGCUGUUUGACAUCUUUCUCUUCAGCUUUCCUAGGAUCAUGAAACAGAACUCAAAGCCCGUACAGCGUCAUUCAUGGUACGACAACACUAGCGAACCCAAAACUGCCGUAAUGUACGGUACUUGUCGUACCAGUGGUCGUCCGUGGCCCAGUUGCAGCUGAUGAUCAAGUGGAGGUAUUUGGUCGCGCAGAGUGCGGCGAAGCGCUUUGCUAUCUCCAGCUCGGUCAUGUGUUGCAGGCCGCUAAAGUAGUAGAGCCGCGGGUGGAUGUGGCUCCGAAGGAAUUUGUGGAAGGCGCGCUCUGCCUCAAAAGACUUUUCGUACUGGUGGUUGACGGGGUAGUUGUACCUGAACAUUACAUAUACAAAACAGGUUUAUUUGCUUGAGCUGGUGACAGGGUGCGCCGUGCGCGUGCGGACAAAUGUUUGUGCAAGCGUUCCGCUUUGGCGUGAGCUUUGAGCGAAGUCUUACGGACGGUGGGCAAAACCAGGCGCCAGGGCUAUGGCAGGGAAAUAAAGAAAAGGAAGAGGAGGAGUAGUGGAGUUCUUAGCAGAAGCAGUUUCCGUCUCGCGGGUGACCCGGGUGAAAUAGGGUCUUUUGUUUUUAGGUUUACUGACCCAAAUUAUUGCCUUCUCGCAGCCAUAGAAACCGAUUUGCCGACCUCUGGCCUGCAUCAUUCAACCACCACGUUUACUCACCCGAGUCCAACUCCCAACUCCUAACUGGGUUUUGGUAACUUUACGGUUUGGGGUUUUAGGCUCUUCGGGCCUUCAGAACUUGGCGCUUUUAGGGUUUUGUAACGCUUUUUAGCGCGUCCAGUUCCGGCACACGGGGCUUACAGUAAGAGUAGCAUUAUCGCGCGCCCGCCCCCACUCACUUGGGGUGGGUUGUGUUGAUGGCAUUCGCCGAGUAUUCGUUUCCAACACAGAUGUACUCGUAGUCGUGCUGCAGAGCCAAGAACGCCGAGGAAAAUGUGUAGAACGAGACGUACUGCAUGUACGACGAGUGCCGUCGUACAAAGAGAAAUGCGGCAGGGGCGUUUUAAGACGCAGUAAAGUGCUCAGCGAUGCCGGGGUUGGGUGGGUUGCGUACGGCGAGCGAUGAACAAUGGAAAACAGUGCCGGGGCCCGGUCCUUGGCGCUCUAACUUUCUUCGCCCACGUGUACGAUUUUUUUACCAUUUCGUGUUUUGGAACCCGUUACGAUCCGGCUCAUUAUCACUCCUACUCCCACAACCACUACCACCUCCCACACCGCACACACACACACACACAUACAUACAUACAUACAUACAUACAUACAUACAUACAUACAUACAUACAUACAUACAUACAUACAUACAUACAUACAUACAUACAUACAUACAUACAUACAGACAGACAGACAGACAGACACACGGACAGACACACAGACACAGAUAUAGUUGAGUUGCAUGUUUUCGAUGAAUGUCCCGCUUACAAGAGGAUACGGGCUAAGUAUGAUGGUGACCUAGUCUUUAUGGGGCGCAGCAUGCGCACCAUUAUGACUGAGGCGCCACCCCUGGCAUUGGCCAGGUACCUCUCGGACAUCUGGGAGGCCAGGCAUGUCGCGCUGAGGCGCUUUGCCCUGAAGCGAACGAGGGAGAAUGAUAAUGACCUCCCGCGUACCCGCAUCAAUACCGAUACAACGUCCAUGGCCCCCCCGGCUUUUACGGACACACCCGCACUUGUGUGCGGAACUUGUAACUUGUAACUUGAUACACAAACCUCCCCUGUCCUCCUUACCGCGCUGUAAUCCUGAAACGGCAGCUCCGGAACCUGGUUGAGCUCCUGUAGCCGCUCCAGGCAGGGCAGGUGCUGCUCCGCCAGUACGACAGCGCCGGCGGCGGGUGACGUCGCCGCCAGCCGACCGAAUUUCGUGUAGACUUCCCAGGAGCCGACCCACUCCCCGUAGUACAUCCAGCCUACUUGGGCGCCCAUGCGGCUGAGCAGCUCUAUCAGCAAGGUGGAGUCCUUGCCGCCGCCGAAGGGAACCAGUACACGGGGGUGAGACCAAAUGCAGGGGCCUUGCUCGGUUGCUGCUGCUACUGCUGCUGCCACUGUUGAUGUUGAUGCUGUCUGCUCUGCUGUUGCCAUUGAUGUUGCUGUUGUUGCUGUUGUUGCUGUUGUUGCCUGCUCUGUUGCUGUUAUAAAAGUAGGAGCAUUUACUUCUGGGAAGCUUCCACCGGCGUCGGGAGGGUGUCGUAGGGCCGCGUCCGUUUCCACCUGCGUCGCCUCUGCGGUGGCUUGUGGUGCCGCCGGUGCUGGCGCUGGCGCUGGCGGCCGUAGAGGUGAUACUGGCGGCCAUGGCGAUUGUGAUGGUGAUGGCAGCGGGUAGUUGGGGGUUUCGGAGCUGGGGGAGCUGCAGCAGCACUCCAGCCGGAAGCUUGCGAGGUCCAAGUCAGCUAAAUAAAAGUACUGAUGAGCGACCGGGGAAAAGGGGGAUCAGGGGGGAGAAAGGGGGUAGGAAAGGGGGGGUUGGGGCUUGGGGUUAAAUUCAGGGUCAUCUUCUAUCUUCAGUAAUAGUAGAAACGGAGCUAUGGACAGUGAUCAGGUGAGCCAUGUGCGGGUGGAGUGGAGUUUGCGCUGCAAGGCGCGCCGUACUGUAGGCCGUACAUGGCUUGGGACUGCUUACCUCGGCAAGUGCGCCUGCGAGCGCUGGUUGAAAGUAAGCGAGCUCAUCUGAGGAGAAGUAUCCGGCGCGGAUUUGCAGCAACGGAGUGCGCUUCGCCGCUGCAAGGAAGACGUAAGUGCUGUGACAUAGCCCCAAGGAGAGCAGUGCGCGCUGUUCAGGCGGUGUGAGCGGCCGUGGCUGCAGCGCCGAGAAAUGAACCUCGGUUCGGAAGCCCUCUAGUACGGCUCCCUGCGCGUCGCGAAAGCUGUGGGUGUAGACAACCUUUUUUUCCUCGUAAUAUAACGCGACUUCAUCGAAUGAUGUUGAGGCGCACCGGCCAGCAAGCUCUUCCCUUGUGAGUGUCGACAUAAAUAACGUUUUAUAGGGUAGCUUGACUCAGUCCUUGAUUAACGAUGCGCGGCAGAACAAUACAAACGCGAUGCUUUUAUUAGAUGCAUGCAAGAAAGGGCAGAACGAAGGGGUGUGUCCACAGCCCGUCCCCGUACUACAUGGCGUCACCUGUGAGCGAGGUUUCCACAGGAUAGAUGGUUUAAACUUGUCAUAAGAAGCUGCCAGAGCCCUCAGUGUAUACAAGGAACGUCACAAAGCUAAUCGAAGGACGACGAGGUCACACAUUUCUCCGUACCCAGCAAUUUACCCACUUUCCUGCUAGUAUUUCACUCUCGACGUUGACAUACAAAAGACGCGAUUAAAUGGUGGUUAAACCUAUCGGCUAUUCAGUGAAAGCAACACGUUUGCAAGUUUCAGUUCAACGACAUACGUACCAGGAGCGAUGGAAAGUAUGUAUUGCGUAAAGUGAAACUUUAAAACAAUUGGUAUAAUUUAACUGCUAUACAGCGGAUUCACGGUUUUGGAGAUACAGCUCCUGCCAACAUGCAAACCGAGAUGCCCAAUGUAACGUCGGCGGAUGCGGCUCCAAUGAGCGGAGCUAUUAUCGGACUUCCAGGUAGAAAACUUCGAAUCUGCGUGCUUCAUCCCAGCGCGGAGGGCACUUCUGGCCCUUUCACGGAGGAUGUGGACGGGACUUGCAAGGUGCGCAUCCUUCCGGAAACCAGCAGCUGCGCGCGCACCACAUGUAUUCCCUUGCUUGGCACUCAACGUGCCGUCGACCUCUACCGUCUUGACAUCACUUGCUGGAUUGGCAACCUCCUGGACUCGUACGCAGCCGGAGCUGUUCGACGUGGAGGGCAGAUACGACUGGACGAACAUCUUUCUGAAAAAGGCCAGCAGCUCAGCCGACCUUGUCAAACUGGUCAACAGCGGCCUAUACGAUGUGUAUUUGAAUCUCUGCGACGGUGCCUGGGACGAGGACCGCGCCGGCAAGGACGUGGUGGAGGCCCUGGAAAGGUACUGAAUGAGCAGCAAUGAAGGCUGUUAAGCAUGUUACACUUCCAACUGCGGAAACCCGGCAGUCGGGGUCUUCCUAGUCGGUUCAUAGUAAAUUUCCAUACAUAUGGGCAAUACGAAAUUACGAAGGUUCUGUUAAAGUCGCCGGAGCGAGAGCGAUAGGCGCAGAUUUACUCACGGGGGGGGACCACAAAGAGCUUCCACCUCAACCUGUGUGUGCUGUCAAGGGAAGGGAAAUGAAAACGCCCAACACGUCGUGUUUCGUCCCGCGCUGUGCGCUCGCCCGUGUAACCUUUGUCCCUGGUAUCCACCUUGGCAACUGACCAAUAACGGGAACCCUAACCUGUGUUCCAAGCGAGAGUACUUUUGCCCUCUGGAGAUACACACACACACACAUAUGUACACACACACACACACACACGCGGCGGUCUCACCUAUGGGGGCGGGUAGCGUCCCCCGGCCAUAGAAGGGCGGUAAGAUAAGUAACACACGCACACACACACACACACACACACACACGCACACACACGCACACGCACACACACACACACACACACACACACGCACACGCGCACACACACACACACACACACACACACACACGCACACGCGCACACACACACACACGCACACACGGCCAUCCGCCGGCGACCGACCCAACAGGCUCAAUGUGCCGUACACUGGAGCCGACGCAGCGUUCUACGAGCCGUCCAAAAUCGACAUGAAGAAAGCCGCAUACUUCUACGGCAUAGGGGUAAGGCCCACUUUUCUCCAGGUUAGGGGAGAGAUAUGUGCGCGCCAGCCGCAACCCAGUUCUCGUCCUAUUAUUGGCUAACGGCUAUCCAGCUCAUGCAAUCCAUUGGACAGGUUUCCGGGCCCAUCCUCUCUGCCCCCUCUAGCCUCCAAUCCUUAAACGCCUCAAACCGCUCUCCGUGUCCCCGCAAAAGAACGUUUUUCUCACUCUUUUCCUGUCGUACUGUUUUUGUAGUAGUACGGCUUCCGUACAUCACUUAUCCCCGUCCCCGUUGCGGUGCACCCUCCCUGGCCCUGCCGUCCCAGGUCCCCGCUUGGGUGCACGUCCAGGGCGGCCCCGGGCAGGAGGAGGCUGGUGUGGCCGAGGUGUUGGGGCCUCCGGAGCGCGGUGGACUGCGCUUCCCCCUCAUCGUAAAGCACCCUAGCGGGUACGGCAGUGUCGGUAUGAGUAAGAAGUCAAAGGUCACCAACGCGCAGGAGCUGCGGCACCAGGUGCGGGGCAGGGCGGGGCCCUGCUAGCUUCCUUUUUGGGGAGCUAGGACAGACGGACAGACAGACAGACUGCCUGAUAAGCAGACGACUGACGGGACAGACAGCCAGGGAGACAGAGGCAGCCAGAGAGGCCUUCAGCCAGCGUGUUGAGGGGAGGGGAAGAUGGGGGCGGCUAGGACGUCUUCUGGCGCCUGCGACACUGACGGGGGCCUGUAGCUGGUUCGAGGGUAGGGGACGUGGGGCAUUUGAGCAAGUCAGCGCUGAAGGGAAACAGACAGACAGAAAAACAGACAAACAGACAGACAGAUAGAGGUUUAUGCCGCAGUGGCACUGCCCGCCGAGGGCCCUUGGACUCACCCACCAUCACCUGCUCGCCGUUGCCGGUCAUCGGCCUACAUGACCUGAUCCGACGUUGCCGCGGCUCAUCCUUAUCGUACGUCUCUGUUCCCAGGUGUCGUACUUCGUACGGGAGUUCGGCGGUGCUCUAGUGGAGGAGUUCAUUGUCGGUCGGGAGUUCACCGUGCUGGUGGUGGAGGAGCCAACCAAGGAGGUGUGAAGUGUGCGCUGGGAGUGGGUGGUGAAUUAAUAAACCAAAUCCAAAUCCAAAUCCAAACGAAGCCGAACGUCUCAACAGCUGCGGUGCCUCCCCGGGUCAUCUGCGCCAUCCACACUCCCGCUAAGGCAACCUCCCAACCACAUCCACACGAGGUAUCACAUCGCCCCAAAAAACGCAACUCCCCCUUUUCCCCCCCCCACAACGCAGUCCCCCUCAUAUUGCUGCUCGAAUCUUGAAGUAUCCGUCUAUUUCUGGUAUAUUUGUAUCUUCAAUCGCCUGUGCUUAGUCGUGCUCCCGCUUUCCCCUCUUUCGCUCCCGUGUCGUUGCGGGUGUUGGUGCUGUUGCAGGCGGUUGCUGGUGCCGAGGCUGACGACUACGAGCCGCAGCUCUCCGACCUCAUCCCCGUGGCCUACACACCCGUGGAGUGUGUUUUCGGCCCAGGGGAGGACUUCAAACAUUUCGAUCUGAAGUUUCUAGAAGCGGAUACCCUGGAGUGGCUGCCCUGCAGGGAGCCCCAGCUGGCGGAGAGACUCAAGGUGGUUGCGGUGGUUGCGGUGGUUGGAACAGUUGGUUGGGGCGCUGCAUGGGUGUAACGGGGCCGCCUUGGGGGGGAUAUGGGAGGGGUAGUGUCAGAAGAGCUUGCGGGCACUCCUGUUGUUCUUGCAAGCCACGUGACUGUUGGGGGCUCGGGUCUUCAUACAAAGGCUAUGGGGGAGUUCGGGGUCAGUAUGUGCCUGGUUAGGAUCUAUGUAGGAUGCGGGGUUCGGAAUGACGGAAAACCUGGUUCCGUACAUUGGCGCGAGUGCUGCCGACGUGUCUUCGUUCGUGACUUUCUUGGGCUAUUGCGUCUGGUGGUUCCAAUCGGUAGUUGUCCUAAGAAGUGUCGUCAUGAAGACUUAUAACUUAUAACUCCCGGAUUCUUUGACCUCCGUACAGGCUGCUGCUCGUGACUUCUUCUUGGCGACCCGGGGGGUCAGCUAUGGCAGGUAUGUAUGUAUGUAUGUAUGUCUCCAUUACAGGGUGGUUAACUUCGCCAGCGGCCCCCUUUUUACAUGUAUGUACAUGUAUGUAUGUAUGUAUGACUUAGAUUACACUGUGGGCCGUGAGAGCCGGGGGCCGAAGCCGAAACACAGCGCAAGGGUCGGGAGUACACAGCACAAGUCGGUUAGUCUUGUAUGCUCCCGAUCCCGACUCAGACUGCCAACACUCUACGCAGCCACUCCGCAGGCCCUCCAUCCAGGGAUGGCGCUGCAGUGAAAACACCACGAAGGGCUCUCAGGUCCCACUAGAGCGAGUCCACAAGCCUCAGCCAGGGUAGAGUCAAAGGCUCUCUGAAACAACCCCCCAAAACACCACCAACGACAACGGGACUCCAAGGGGAAGAAACAGAAAAUAAAAAUUCGGUUAGGGCAGUCCCGGCAGGGGAGGGCUCCUAACAAGCCAACAAAAACACCUCCAAGAGAGAGGCUAAGAGAGAUCGACACCACAAGACGUCUUGUGUGUAUGUAUGCGCGUGGUAAUUGGGAGGGGUGCAGAGGAGGGGGAAAUAGUGGAGGAAAUGGGUGCUGCUGGAAGGACUUGGACCUGGUGAUGUUAACUAACUAGUUUUUUUCUAACCUCACUAUAUAAGCAAUACGAGAUCCAAAAUUUAUAUUCAAAAUAAUAAAAACCACACAAUUCUGGAUCCGAACAUUCCGCCCAGGUGUGACUUCAGGGUGGAGGACGGCACUGGCGACAUCUAUCUGCUGGAGAUCAACCCCAACUGCGGCGUGCUGCUACCUCCGGAAUAUGCCGGCUCCGCGGAUUACAUCCUCGCACUGGACCCUGACCACAGCCACCGCCACUUCCUCGCCUCCAUCCUUGCCUCCGCAGUGCAUCGACACCGCUGCAAACAGCCCGCAGUCGCGCCGGCCUUCAUCAGCACUGGACAAGUACUUCCGUCACCGCCGCCGCCGCCCGUUGACCUUGACUCCAACGGCGCAGAGACCGUCGCCGCUGCGCCGCCCAGCAGCCGGGUUGGCGGCAUCAACGUACGGCGUCUUGGCAUGGUAGCCGUAAGGGCCAUUCGUGCUGGUCGGCGUGUACAGCGCAACGAGAACUCCCUGGUCACCCUCGGCAGUCGCGACUGGGUGGAGCGGACCUGGCCUGAGGGCAGCUGGGAGCGGAGGAGGGUCAACGAGGCAGCCUAUCCGCUGAACGACCGGGUCUGUGUGUCUGUGUGCGUGGGUUGGGGUAGGGCUGGUGGGUUUUGCAGUACCAUUUCCACCAUCCAUUAACCAAAAUCCUUCUCAGCCCUGCGAUUCUAGAAGCAACAUGUUGUGGUGGUUGUUGUUGUUCCGUAACGUGGAAAAGGGGAGGGAGUCAUAUGGAACGGUUUGGCUCUCCCCCACAUUACGUGUUGUGGAUGUUACAUUGGUGCUCCCUUGCUCCCUGCCCUCUCUGCACCCUGCCUCCUGGCCCCCGCUGCCCCCCAGGUCCUGGUGCUGCCUCCCGCUGACUUGACCCGCUGGAUGCCCCUGAGCCACUCCUGCGAACCGAACACCCACAUUGAGGGCCUGGACCUGGUGGCGCGGAGGGACAUCGCACUGGGUGAGGGAGAGAGGAGAGGAACACAGAAGAGGACACCCUAGAAAGAACCGCCAGUAACGGAAUACCACGGAUACUAAAAACCGUUAUUAACAGAAAACCGAUAGUAACGGAAACACUUUAUUCAAGAAAGAUAAGUAAAGACCAAGCCUUGGGAGCCUUGGUGGGAGGAACGCUGUACGGGGAACUGUACGGGGUGAGGGUGAGGAGAGGAAAAGGAGAGAAGUCGCCAAGCAACAACCCACGUCUUCAUCCUGAUUCCCCCGGGGCCUGCGUCAACUACGUUGCCGAUAACCCGCAGGUGAGGUAAUCUCGGUGGAUUUCGCCACGUUGUACGGCCCCAGUCUGGCUGCGCCCUUCGACUGCAGUUGCGGCGCACAGCGCUGUCGCGGCCGCGUCACGCCGCAGGACUUCUUGUUGCCGUACAUCGCUGAAGAGUACGGUGACACGCGGCUGAGCGCCUUUGUGGCAGAGGCGCGGAAGCGCUGCGGCGGCGGCAGCAACAGUACUACUAAUAACAGUGCGGCAGCGGCAGCUGUGGCGGCGGCGACGACUACAGCGACCGAGGCAGCGGCAGCUGUGGCGGCGGCGACGACUACAGCGACCGAGGCAGCGGCAGCUGUGGCGGCGGCGACGACUACAGCGACCGAGGCAGCGGCAGCUGUGGCGGCGGCGACGACUACAGCGACCGAGGCAGCGGCAGCUGUGGCGGAGUGAGAUGGGUGGUGUACACUGCACAGCCCCGUCAGUAGCGGGUCGGGAGACCUAGGAAUGGUGGCUGAGGCUUUACAGGAACGCUCUACGUUUUGUGUGUGAGUAGGUACGGUGCAUGUGUGCCCUUGGUCGCCGAGACACCGUAGGUGAUGAACUCGUCGUGAGCCCUGAAGACGGACCUGCAGAUGGAUCGGAUGUGUGGGGCCGCAGCACACUCCUCGGGCACCAAGACCACACGCAUUGCCCGGCUAAAUCGGCAGCAGUAGCACAGGAUAUGGGUGGGUGGGCCGACAGGAGUACGAAAGUGAUCACGGUCAGACGAACAUGUAUCAUACGUGGACGAUCGUGCGGUGGUCGUACAUGUGGGUGGUUGAUAGGUUACAUGUUGCCUAUGUAGGCUACAUGUCUCUUUCCCUCGCUUUCUCCCCCCUCAAGCGAGGGUAUGUUGUUACAGGGUGGUGUAGCUUCACCAGCGGCCCCCUUUCCCGAGGCAGUUCCCUGCUCUCCCCUGCUAGAGGGGCACCCUAAUCCGUUCACCCCAUCCGGCUUCAGAAUGUAUUCGUUGGAUUCAGCAACUCACCACCAGCAUCCAACUAAAUCCAGCGGAUCAACGGCGCCUCAUCUUAGUUCCUGGUCAGCUCGCUAGUUGAUAAUUUCACGUCCAAUACCGUCCAUAAGAUGGGGGGCCACCCCCCAUGUCAACACCUCUCACACACCCGAGAGGUUGACAGGCGGAUUUGAGCUCGGACACCCCGGGAGCAGUCGUCAGGCCUUACCCUCUGCCAGCCGCCUGCCUAUAGUGUAUGCGCGCGCAAGCCGGCGAGAGCCACUUGAACUCGUCUGUGUGUCUGGGUAUCCCAUUUCUGGCCUGUGUUCGUACAUGUACGACAAUAUUAAACUUUAACUGCGUUAUUUCUAGCGGUGUAAACGUGCGGCGCGGUUGCCGCAUGGUGUUCGAUUGAAACCCAUACGGUAGUUACCCAUGGGGUGUUGUGGAAGCGUGCCAUUAAAAGCACUGUAGCAUGGCGCCAGAUCAUGCUUAUGUAUGACUUAGAUUACACUGUGGGCCGUGAGAGCCGGGGGCCGAAGCCGAAACACAGCGCAAGGGUCGGGAGCACACAGCACAAGUCGGUUAGUCUUGUGUGCUCCCGACCCCGACUCAGACUGCCAACACACAACGCAGCCACUCCGCAGCCCCUCCAUCCGGGGAUGGCGCUGCAGUGAGAACACCACGAAGGGCUCUCAGGUCCCGCUAGAGCGAGUCCACAAGUCUCAGCUAGGGCAAAGUCAAAGGCUCUCUGAAACAACCCCCCAAAAAACACCACCAACGACAACGGGAUUCCAAGGGAAAAAAAACAGAAACAAAAAUACGGUUAGGGCAGUCCCGGCAGGGGAGGGCUCCUGAUAUACCUAACAAGCCAACAAAAAAAAACCUCCAAGAGAGAAAGGCUAAGAGAGCUCGACACCACAAGACGUCUUGCAGCCACCUUACAACAACUGACCCCCUCUACCUGUCCCUUCCUGGGCUGGUCCAGGGGAGAAGUAGCCUUAUAAAGAAAAGGGACCACGCACAAGCCUGAUCACCACUGCAGGGGCCCGGGAUAGACCGGCGAAACCACCAAAGCGUUAGCGUUGCCACGACACACAGCUCCUAGACCCUCCAGAGAACCGCAGGGGGAGGAUUGUAGCCCGCGCGGCGCCUCCCCCUUACCGCCUCUAACCUGAACGGUUGGUCCUCCAGAAACCUAUUCACCCUGUCUCGUACUGCACCGCUCCCACCCGCGCCCCUCACCAAGCAACCCAGUCCCACAGAGAAGACGUGUCUAAAUAGAAUGGCCCUCCUCGGGCCACAUCUCCCCCUCAUCCGAGCCCCGCUACCACCACCAGACCUCAACCUCCCAAACACCAGAAAACCUACGUCCUUUUGGCGCUCUCACCGCCAUCUCCCCCCUCCCCUGUCCGAGCGACCCCACCUCCCCCCCGCUCUCCAGCACCCUACAGAUUCGGCGCGGCACUAGGGAAGAAAAAGGGUUCUUCCCUGCACGACGUGACCGCCUCCAUUCCCCGUCCUUCUCCUCUCCCUCUCCCUCUCCCGUCUCGGGGUUCCCUCUCACCUAUUCCCUUGUCCUCCAACCCCCAUCCCCCUCGAACUCCUAUACCCCCCCGAGCCCUGCCCUACAAACUAAGCUCAAAGCGCUCUUAGGCAAUAAUUUCCACCGCUUCGGCGCACCGCAGUGCGCCUUCUGAAACCGAGAGGAUCGGGUGGUCGGGUCCCACCCUGUCCCAGCCUCUCCACGGGGUGCCCAGCACCGUGAAGGAGCGCAGACGCGCCCAGAAGUCCACCACUGCCCGGGCGCAGGCCCGCUCCAAGGGGGUUGCUGCGGGUGCUGCUGCCGCCGCGCCUGCCGUUGCUGCUACCGCCCCUGUCGCCGUGUUCCGCUCCUGCGUUUGGUCCUCAUCCCCCGGCGCAUUCAGUGCAGGCCCCGUCUGCGGUCCCGCCCCGUCGGCCUGGAUGAAAAAGUCCGUUAUCCGCCUCUGUCUGGGGCCGGGUACCUGCACCUGCUGCGCGUGCUCCCGGUUCUGUGGUCCUUGGCUCCCAGCUCGUUCCUGCCUCCUGCCCGCUGCCCUCAGGCAGCAUCUGCCAACCUCCAUGGCCGACAGGGCCGACAGGGCGAUUACAUCCCAUAAGGCCUGUUCGCAUCCGGUUGGGGCCAGUAUUAGCCAGAGUUGCUUUCGGGUGACUCUCCCUACCGCUGCUUCCUGAGAAGACUGUAGAUGCCGGUCGAUCUGUGCCCGCACCGCCUGCACCACCGGGCAUUCCCAAAAGUGAUGCAUGCGUGGCGAGCAUGGCUGACCAGCUGCUCCACCGAAUCCGCCACAUCCACAGCGUUCUGGAGUCAUGCGGGCUAGGUGCGUGUUGCCCGGUAGGGAGACGCCAUCCACUGCGAGCCGCCAUAACGUCUCCUUAUUCUCAUUCUCCCAUCGCACCCCGGACCAUACGCGGGCCUGCGUCGCCCUGAAUAGGCUGAUUUCCGAGGGGGGCGGCGGCGACAGGCCCUGAGGAUCCGUCGCCUCCCGCACAAAUUCAGCUACCAGGCGUCUUCUCCUCUCCUCCAUAGGCCCACAUUGCAGCUGUGUCGCCAGGCGAACCGUAAGGCGUGCCAUCGGGAUGGCUUCCGCCAUCCCAGGUAUACGCCACCCAAUUCGCUCAGCAAUCAUAUCCAUCGCUUGCAUGCUGGUCAGCAGUGGUGCUGGUGACGGUAUGACAGCCUCCUCCCCUUCCGUUGCCGCUGCCAUCGGUUCCGUUAGCCCCCGCUGCUGCUGCUGCUGCAGUAUGUAUGUGUGUUAUUUUAAUGAACUGAGCCGCGAGGUGUAAGGUUUGGCGUGUGGGUGUGAACGCAUAUGUGAACGCACAAAAACACAAGGUUUACGAGCUGUAGGGCUGGGGUCCCUGUGGUUAGGCCCCGGAUGCAGGCAGGUCGUACAUUUCACCGCCGGCAGCUCGUCCUCAAAGUGAAGCUGUCGACCCUCACUAUCGACCCUUAAAUAAACCGCCAGUGAUUCAGUUGGAAAGUAAUCAUCGUCACGGUCCUUUCGCAACCGCAACCGCACGUGCUCCGCGAAAACGACAGUGCCAGGGCUCCUACAGCCCGUCGAGUAGUACAGCUGUACGGCCUUUACGCAGCACGUUUUUUGUGACGUGGUUAACGGGAGGUGCGAUGUUACUGUCAGAUGGUUAAGGCCAUAUCAAUUCAUAUUAGUAAACCUUAGUAGGGAUCGGUACCCGGCCCCAUUUGUUUACUCAGGGGUAGUGUUGACUGGAAAACUCCUGAAGGACCUCAGAUCGCAGUGAGAUGAUAUCGUGCAGGAGGUCGCUUGCUGCGGCAGCUUCAUGGCGCGCGAGCAUUCCGUUCGGCGAGGCAGGACCUUUUACGUAUCUGCGAUGUGGGACAGUUGCGUUGAGCAUUUUAGCUAAAGCCUACGUCUGACCGAAGCCGGCAGGAUUCGAGGCCCGUCUGCUUCGACAAGGAUGCCCCGAAGGCCAGCCAAUGUUCAUGCUACUGCAUGGCUCUGGAGCUGCAAAAUAUCCGAUUUCAUCCAAUUUCAUACCUGUAGCUGCAGCCGCACGCAACAAUGAAAACAGAUGGAUCCAAAUAGAUGACGCCCAUGCCGCGUCCUGUUGCAGUGGUGGUGUGGCUGGCAACUUGCAUUUUGUGCUGCACCAAGGCCCAGCCGAUCCCUGCAAGCGAGGAUGGUGCUAUUAAGAUACCAAGGUUAGGUUUGUAUAAGCGUGGAGUCGUAAAUGAGGAAGAAGCGAAAACUGACGCCGAUGGCGCUCUUCACAUGGAGCAAGUCUUCGUGCACCGCUUCAGCAACGUACUGGGUAACCAAACGGAAAAGGUUAAACUGGAGGAAGCCUUGGAUUUCAUCCUAGGCGCGGCGGAGAAGCUUCGGAACACCUUCAACGCAGCACCUUCAAAUGCGCAGCUGCUGAGCGACAGUAUCACAGGCAGCGAGACUGCGUUACGUGCUAUGCAGCUAGCACGCGAUCUAUCAGCCACAGUUGUUGCCGGUGGAGAUGAGCUGAAGGCGAACGCGGUCACGGAGACGCUGAACCAAAUUGCCGCCCAGGUGGCCGACCUCAGCCCCGCGUCUUGCCAUCCCGUAACCCGUCGCAUCGUCUUGGCGUCCCUGGUCCGACUGCAAAUGCUACUGCACGAGCCCUUGCUAAGCGAAGAGGCAAAGACGCUGCGUGACAGCUCCGAAACCGCGACGCUCCUCUUCCGCAUCUGUCGUCUACUCUUCAAUCUGCACCGCCAAGGCGCCUCCGCCAAAGGCGCAAUCGAGUUCUUACACAUAUCAAAGUCCGGCGGCACGUCCAUGUGCUCGGUCGCGGAUAAGAACGGCUGUACGACCGAGAGUACGUCAAACUUUGGCAAUUGCAUGGUGCGCCGCUUUGAUGACCGUCCGCGAUGGGUAUCAGCAGCCGUUCACAACCUAUCGGCGCCCCUGAACGGAUGGAAGUGGUUCUAUCGAUAUGCCGUACGGCGAGGCAAUCGGAGCUGCGAGUAUAGGUGCGGGUGUCAGCAAAUUGUGUUGGGUUUGGGAAAUGCAUGUGGGUUAUCUGAACCAGGUUGGCUGGCUGGCAAAUGCCUGAGCGGGGGGUGGGGCAAUAUGGGUCACAUGCGAUAACGGGUACAUGGACUGACUGACUGUAAGUCGGCGGUGUAAGUACGUCCACGGCUGCAGUUUGGACUGGGGUAACCCUACGGGCAGGCAAGCAACCACACCCCGCCCGACGACUGGCGAAAUCCGCCCUGCCCUUCACGCAGCUGUCCUCGUUUUGCUAACUAACUAAUUAACGAUCUAACUGUCAUAUCAUCGGAUGAGGACACUAAUGGUGACCUGCUGGUUCUUGUCCUGGGUUCUGUCCUGGCAACAGGGACGAGUUCAUGCAGCGCAACCGUUACACCUUCUAUUCCAACGAGUUUGCCGUACACGGUGGACUCGAGAAUGCUGAGGAGCAAAACGGGGUUGAGGGUGGGGAAGAAGGUGUCGGUGCAAACACGGGCGCUGCCGCUGCGGGCGGCGACGGCAGCAGCCCUGCCUGGCGCUCGGCGCACUUGUGUCCGCAGUUUCUAAAUUUCGUUAUGUUGCGUCAGCCUCUGGCACGACUGCUGUCGCACGUGAAGUGGAUCAUCAAGGUUUACCGUACCGAGUACGGCAGACACAGUGAGGCGUUUUUCCGCGCGCGCGAUGCUGACUACUGGCGAACCUUCGCGCCAGCGGCCGUCGACAACUACUACAUUCGGCUGCUGCUGGGUGAAGAAGUUUUCUACCUGCCCUCCGGCACCAUCAACGCGACACACCUGGAGGCAGCGGAGCUCGUACUUCUGCAGUACGACAUCGUAGUGCUGCUGGAAGCGGACGACAUCGAUGAGCUAUGGCUUAAAAUGGCACUCGGUUGGCGAGUGGGACUCUCGAGCGCGCACGCGCGCGUCGCGGGGAGCAGUCGUGCAACGGAGGAGCUCGUGCCGUACGACAUGGACGAGCUGAUGGCGGCAAACGCGGAGGACGUACGGCUGUAUCAAUUCGGUGCCGUCCUCCACCAGCUGGACGGUCUGAUGUUCGCAGCGAUGGCUGCGGCUAAUCUUCAACCCUUCUCACCGUUUGCUUACAUUAACGCGUCAGAGAAGAAUGUGGGAAAGCGUGUCCGAUGUGGGUACGUGACGAGGAAGCAGCAGCUGCUGGGAAAUGUGGGUCUCAACAUCAGUGCAUUCACACGGACAUACGAACAGCACUUCUCAAGGAUUCUUUCACUCGACGAGCGGGUGCGGCCCCCGGCUCCGCCGCCGCGGAAACGGGGCCGAUUGCGCCUCCUGGAGUGGCCGCAGUUGCAGCUGCAGCUGCAGCAAGGAGGGGUAGCAGUGCAAGAGGAGGGGGAGGAGGAGCAAGGGGGAGAGGAAGAAGAGGCGGAGGAACAAGUAGAAUGCGAGGGGCGGCAGUCACCGCAGCAACGACAGCGGCAGCGGCAACACGAAGGGCAUAAGGACAAGGAACGCUGAGGAAGGGGGAACAGCUGGGGUUGUAGGGGGCCCCAGCGAGGGGCCACGGUGCAGGAAAGCGGGAGCGGGGCUGCAUGACGGGGUUGCCCGGGAGACCCAAGCCACCGACAGCUUCGUCGUCCUCGUCGCCGUCCUCCUCAUUAUCACUGAACUGAGGAGUCGAGGCGGCAUCAACCCCGGCAAACCGCUCGCUAAUAUCACCACCACCACCACCACCACCACCAAUAGUUGGCAACCUACCUGCUUCUCCGGCUUGUGGUUCUCCUUGCUGGGGAGGGACGUAGGAACCAAGAGCACUGCAUGAGGAUGGUCGAACGUGGGGGUGCCAAGGGGGACGUUGGUUCGUCGUGUGCAUAUCCAUGCAUCCCUUCUGUCGUGUUACUUGGUGGGAGCUCUCCAUACACACACAGAGAGAGAGAGAGAGAGAGAGAGAGAGAGAGAGAGAGAGAGAGAGAGAGAGAGAGAGAGAGAGAGAGAGCCCGAGACCGGACCUUAGGGGGCUGGACUGGACUGGAUGUGGGAUGUGGGUUGGUGGAUUGACGGGUGAGGGGGACCCGUUCGUAUGGGUAGGUGCACGGGAUGUAAUCGUGGUAAAGUGAAAGCGGCGGUGGCGCUGUUUUUGCAUGUAAGUGUGCGGAUAGAGUGGAAGACGAGUGUGGUUGAAUUGAUGUCUGUGUAUUGCUAGCGCCGCUGCUGCUGUUUUUCUUAACAAGAGCUAUAUCGAACGUUGUGAAGGGUGGUUUUCACGUCUCGCCAAGGCGGGCAAGAGAGAGGUGUAUACUCGAGGUAAAAGUGUGUGUGUGUGUUGUGGAAUUUUGGAAAGAAUCAGCUCUCAUCAUCAUCACCACCAUCAUGAGCAGAAACGCGGACGAUGCCACCUUGAGCUGUGUUUUGGGGCGUGCAUAAAUCACAUACACACAUAGCAGGGUAGGUGUGAGAUGGACCGCGGUACCGUCGUAUGUAUGUAAUUCAUACGUUAAAAAAGGUGGAUCCCGUGCGCACGUGUAGUGUUCUAGUAGUAUAAUUCAGUUGUUCGCCGGACCCAAACCCUUCACUAAGCUCCUGGGCUGACUCCGUAAAGACAGUGCGAUGCGAAGGCUGGUAGCUGUGGACCCAACCGACCUCCUGGCAUGGUGCGGCGUGGCAUCGCUCCGCCGUUGGUUGGUUGAGAGCUGAUCUCGGUUGGCUUGGCCUGGGGGGCCCUGAUUGCCGUGAUCUGGAUCCGCGUGAGUCGUGCAGUACAGAUGCCACAACUACACUUGCUCCCGCUUCCACGGAGUUAGGGAUUGGCCUUUGUGCUGGUUAGGCUGAAUGUGUCAGUGGUGGUGUUGAGUAAGAAGUUUCCAUCUGAAGGUGCGCUUGAAGCCCGCAGGCAGGCAGCAACGAAGGCGCAUUUGCGCUUCCAGGGGGCUCGGCUCACUCUCGUACUGCAUUAGUACGACGCGUACGAUCCGCGAUCUCCGCUUAUGAGCUAUGAAGUUGACUACCAUGCCUGUUCGUAUGUAACAUGGGUUGCAUCAUGCAUGACAGGCGGUCGGCUCCAUGCACCCAGCAGCCGUAGUAGCAGCAGCAGAACAGCAAAAUCCCGAAGAUCAGCAUCAGAGCUGCAGCAAACUAAAGGUCAGUGCUACUGCCAGCAGCCGACCAAACCAUCCUGUGCAGUUGUUUCAAUCCCUCGAUUCAACGUGCGGAAAACCUCCUCAGUAAAGAGGGUGCUUAACGACGCACGGCAAACGGCUGGCAGCAGCAGCAAUAGCAAAAUCGUUUUCUCGCCCAAGUGCAGCGAAUUAUUGUAGGUAAGGAAGCCCGGUCUGAAGUUAUCGCAGCAAAAGCAGGCCGGCGAUACUCGCCGUCAGCCAAACAUGGUUGUUCUGUUGUGCUUGUUUGUGUGUCUCGGCCCCGGAGCUUAGAUUGUGGUACCGAUAUGCGUGUAUGUUUCUUGGGGCUUGGGUCAGGAGCUGAAUCGGACAACCUCGUCAGGGGCUCGACCAAACCUUAUCCUCGAUGCCGUACCGCAUCGCAAUCAAAAAUCCCGUUCUCUCCUUUUCCCCUGAUGUACCUUGCUCGGGUGGGCCUGGGCUCUAUGAUACAUCAGAAGCGCGCGCUAACGAACUGCAAAACAUUACAGUGACCUUCAAUACAAUUAGCACACAGGGUCCGGGUCUUCCUAGACAUGGUGACCAUUCGGCAAGCCCUGCUUUCUGUGGGGGGCGAGGACGAUAGUUCCAUUUCGCCAAUUGUUGCUGCCCUUUUAGAUUUAGGGUUUGACGUAGAUGCCGAGGUCGGCGGCGCUUUCCGCCUGCUGAAUGCGGAACAAGCAGCAGGCCUCACUGUUCGACAGCAGUUGGCUCUAAAGGCCGCUAUCCAAGGUCCGUUGUAUGCAAUCGCGUACUUAAGCAUUGUUAGGCUGGUAUCCUGUAAACCGCCACUGCAGGCACGCACUUGUAAAAUUUGCGCAUUGGGCCGUUAGGAGUGCCAUUGGACGCAUAGGGCGUUAUGAGUGUCUCGUCAAGCCCUGCGAGAAUUGUCCCUCAAUUGUGCUGUGGUGCUUAGGCAUUGUGGUUGAGAGUAGACAGGACGCACGCCCUUUCCCGCUAGCACACCGAGGCGUUGGUGGCGAGUUCCAAACCUAGGUUUUGCAGAUAGCCUUUGCAAACUUGCGCGUGAAGCUACCUCAGGUGUUAAGAAUGCUGCAUAAAGAUUGCUACUACAUGCGAGCCGCGCUGCCUCUACCUGCACCCGCCACAUAUCGGGAAUCCAGGAUGCACGUGGUCUUCCUGAUAUACCGACCUGCAUUAGCUUUUGGCUGUUAAUAUGUACCUAUGAGCAUUGUUGUGUUUGCGAAGAUUCUGGUGGCUUUGGUAGCUACAUGCCUUUCCGACUUUUAGCAUGCUGAACUGCCAAGUCCACGGCUUGUCCACAGUCUGUCACGCGCAUCGUUGGUACACUGCAUACCAUGCAUGGUCAUGGUCUUCCGAACCGUUAGUAAGAUGUGUGUUCCUUUACAAUUUCAUGACAAAUGACCUACCUGCAUACUGCACCCUCGCUUUUUCUUGAUGUACAGCUGCGGCAAGUACUGUCUUGCCGCCGGAUCCCAGCUCUGGUGAGUUCAUCUCAUUUUUACAUUACUUCUUGGAGUUGAAUGCGUUGUGUCCUUACAGUACGUAGUGAAACGCAAAACCCUAAGCAGCUCUCAUACAAACGAGAUGCAAGGUAUGACUGCCCAAUAAAACCUCCGUACAACUCCAAAAUGCGAAGGCCAUGGCCAGCUGCGCAAAGGCCAGCUCUCAAAAGCCGGGAACACGGGCUUUACAGGUAUGUGCGUAAAAUUCGCGGGCGGGCGAUAUUCAAUCGGGAGCUGAAGCGGCUUGAUUAUCAUGCCCAAAAUGUGAAGCCCUUUAAAAAGCUCCCAACGAGCACCUGCUGUUUGCACGGAUGUGUUUGCACAUCUGCCGCCACCAUGGUGGCAUCCAGCAGCGGCUGCUGGCGGUGCUGACUGACAUGCUAUUUCGUGGUGGAGUAGGCGUAAGGGUAGGGAAACCCACAACGAGGGCGUGCAGCUGCUGUUGACUGGUGCUGUAAACACUAAGAGUAUGGGAAAAAGCAUUUCAUAAUGUCCGAGGAUGGGCUACGAUGCGACGCCUUCAUUCCAACCCAUUUAGACCCAUUUAGCCUAGCCAACACCGCCCCCUGUUACUGACAUGUAUGGGUGGCCCAUGGCCUUCCGGGACCGGGGCACGCCAACCAUGUCCCAUCGAAUCUGGUUCGGAGUCUUAGUGGGGAUUCAGUUAAUCGGUGGUUGUACGAUUGUGGAUUGAGACCGGUGGGCCAAACGGGAGGUAGGCGUGACUACCCUGCUGCUCGAGAUUAGUCGCUUUCAGGCAACCCUGGCACGCUUAUGGCAUGGGGUGCACUGGGAGAAUGAGAACAAGGAGACCAUGUGGCGUCUCGCCGUGGAUGGCGUGCCCCUACCUGGCUUGUUUGGUGGGCUCGUUACACCUCUCUGAGUAAUGCAACCGAGAUGCAACAGACACACACACACACACAUGUAUACACAUACAUCUCCUUCCAGGCCAACAAGCAAGCAUUACAUCAUCUCUUCACCUGUCCCACAUGUACCCUCGCUUCCAGGUGAACCCCGGCCUGGAUGAUAUAUAUUUGAAACGAGAACUGUGCAUGUGCCUAUGUUGAUCGCCUACCAGGCCUACUUAGUCAAGUAGGUAGACAGCCAGCUACCUAGCUAGUCAAACCAGCCACUUGGCCGACUGCAUUCAACAUGCACACCGUCACAUGAGAUGAGCAGGGAUACAAUGUGCGUGUGUGUGAUGCUGAGUCCCUGUAUGGAGCAGGAACAUUAGCCAGCAACUGCAACUUACCGGAGAUCACGCUGAGGUAGCAGACCCUGUUCAGCAAGCCCAGGUGCUGCAAGCCGUGCAGACAGCCUAGGCCCAGGGUAGUGGCUAUCGGAGCCUUAUCACCCAGCCCCGGCAUGGCGAAGUCCGGCUUGUCAAGCUCUGGAAAGCAGAUGGUGCCGUCCAGGCGAGCAGGCCAGGCCUUGACAGACGUAGUAUGAGGGUGAGAGAAUAUGCCGAGCAAUGACCUCGCCUCAGCUGUGACACCGGCCACGACAGCGGAGGCAACAUUUUUCUGAUCCCCGUAAGCUUCAGUGGGAACCCUGUCUAAUCCAUCAAAAGCCUUGGACAAGCCCGCAGAAGUGUCGUCGACAACGGCGGUAAUGGCACUUGUUUCGGUGCCUGAAGCGGUGCUGGCCUUGAGUAUUGUGGGUUUGUCCUCCGUAAGGGGGUUGGCAGCCGUGGCAACGCGGCAUCCGCUGCCAUCCACAGCUGCACCAGUGGGAUUAUCGACGGCAUCCAUGGUGACUACUUGUGCUCUUCCAUGCUUUAAACACAACACUUUACGCGCAGUUGUGGCUGGUCAAGCUCCUUGUAAGUCUCAGACCGGCGGCAAAUGAAGGCGUUUUAAAGUGAGAGGCUGUUUUGGUUUCACUUCCAAAGCUCCACGCGGUAAAAUUCACGCCUGUCUUUUUGGGCGUCUUGUACUCCCUGGAAUGAAACUAGUAAUUCUUAUAACAUAAACCACAGUGUAAUCUAAUACAUACAUACAUGUGCCCUGACAGGGGGCUGAUGAUGUGCUUACAGGCCGUGGUCUGCUCUUUGUCCAGCAGAUUCGUUGGGCUCAUUAUGUCCUUGACACUUCGUUACCUUACCUGUCAGGUACUCGCCGACGGGGUGUCGCCAGACACCGCCCCUGCAGCGCACAUCGUGCUGUUGACCUCACCCAAGAAAACGACCAUGAAGGUAGGCAUCUUGGGCCCAGAUGGAACUAGAAGGCGUACCGUCAUACACUGACCUUGCUUGUGCACCUGGCAUGGAGCAUCCAGGACUACUCGCCCAUAAGUUGCCAUCUAAAGGUAUUUGUCCCUUAUGAACUAGGAAGAUCAGAAUGAAGGACUGUCACCCCUCCCUCCCUCGGGCUGCAGGAGAUGAGGAAGGCAGUAGCUGUGACUUGGUACAUGCCUUUCUGGGAGCUUAAGGAGCUGCUUGACUGCCGCAGGUGCUGGGUGUGGGACGGGUGGUGUGGGAGCUAGGUCCUUAACUAAACUGCACUUGUUGCCAAUUGUCCCGCGUGUAAACAGUAAAAGUUGUUACUUGCUUUCCCUCGCACCAUAAAUGUGCCCGCAGCAAGAUGUAUAGUGCAGUGCCAGAGGCGACCGUGGAGGAACUCUACACUUACUACCGUAGCGGAACUAAAGAUUUUACAAAAUAAAUAAUUAUUUGCAUGCGGUAAAAUGUUUUGGCAAAAUUCAGAGUCUUUCUGUAAAAUCUUUAGUUCCCGGGAGGGAAUGGUGGUUUCGCCGGUCUAUCCCGGGCCCCUGCAGUGGUGAUCGGGCUUGUGAGUGGUCCCUUUUCUUUGUAUGGCUACUUCUCCCCUGGACCAGCCCAGGAAGGGACAGGUAGAGGGGGUCAGUUGUUGUAAGGUGGCUGCAAGACGUCUUGUGGUGUCGAGCUCUCUUAGCCUUUCUCUCUUGGAGGUUUUCCUUUUUUUGGCUCUCCCCUGCCUGGGCUACCCUGGCCGUCUUUUUCUUUUCUCGGUUUUUCUUCCCUUUGUCUUUGGUUGUGUUGUGGGGGUUUGUUCCAGAGAGCCUUUGCUUUUACCCUAACUGAGACUUGUGGACCCACUCUAGCGGGACCUGAGAGCCCUUCGUGGUGUAUUCACUGCAGCGCCAUCCCUGGAUGGACGGGCUGCGGAGUGGCUGCGUUGUGUGUUGGCAGUCUGAGUCGGGGUCGGGAGCACACAAGACUAACCGACGUGUGCUGUGUGCUCCCGACCCUUGCGCUGUGUUUCGGCUUCGGCCCCCGGCUCUCGCGGCCCACAGUGUAAUGUAAGUCAUACAUACAUACAUGCAUGCAUGCUUGCAUACUUGCAUACUUGCAUACACAAGUUCAGUCAAGUUGAACGAUAAUGGCGUCAAAUGUCCAUUUCCUUGCAUUCGUUUUUGCCGUUUCAUGGCCCGCAAAAUCUUCCGCUUCCACUACCUCCAAAACUGGCUGCCGUACAGGCAAACCGCCGGGUCUGGUUGCCGUACCCACUCACUACUACAAGGUUGUGCUAGCUGACCCCCGAGGGGGGGGAGGCGGUGAGUACGGAAAGGGCACGACGCCACGUGACCCGCCGUCGCCGCUAUCCAACGGUACGGUGGCGGUUGGCGCAUUUGUCAUGCCCAACCAACCUAUCGAUGCGCGCAACCCGCUGACGGCCUACGUGGUGCCGUUGGACGACCUGGAGCAGGUGGGCGUUGGAAGUUAGGACCGUUGAGGCCGUUUGGAGUUGUUUGGGGAGCUCGGUUUGCACGUCUUUUCCUUUUCCUCCCCCACAUAUAUAUGCUGUCCCGCAUACCCUCACAGGUCCCCUGGGAUCACAGACUUGACCUCUUGUUUAACAAUUCCCCCGCCGCCUCCGCCUCCUCCGCCUCCCCCUCCUCCUCGCUUUAAUGUCGGGGCCGGGCCUUUCUGGAUUUGUCCUGCCUACCCCCUCACACUUCGCUUACCACUGACCCGCACAUCCUCUUCCCCCUACACCCACCCCCCCUCACCUUCUCCACCCUCUUCACCUCAUUUCUCUCCCAACCCCUCACCUCCCCACCAAGGUGGCUGGCACCAAGUUCUUUCCCGCGCUCCUUGACGAGCCGCGUCGCAGAGCUGCUCUGGAUGCAGUGGCGGUGGGGUGGUGGCAGGAGGGGCUGGCGCAGCUGAAACCAUUUGAACGGAUCAGCAUGAAACAGGUGCCUCUGUGUGUCUCUGUGUGUCUGUGUAUCUGUGUGUGUAUGUGUCUGUGUGUGUAUCUGUGUGUGUAUGUGUCUGUCAAAAUCUAUCACCUUUCACCUUUAUGUCCUCUCCUCCAUCCUUGCCCAACUCAUGCGGCAAUAUCCGAAUCCGAUUCCGGUUCCGGUUACAAAUUUUCGGUUCUGACUUAGGUUCAGCUGUCUGAGCCUCAUGUCAUUUAAGGUCGUUGCCCAGUUUUCGCCUGCAUUGCCUGAGUUUUGAUGUUGAUGAUCCUUCUAUCCAGUGGAAACUGAUUCUGUAUGUUUGCAUUGCUGCUGAGCUCUUGUGUCCUUCCAUGUUCAUAUUGCUGCAGACAUCUCGUUUCUUGGCAAGUUGUACCUGCCUUUCACCUGUAACACACCUAUGACCUGGCCUGCCUCCCUGGUUGCUCCCAUCACGAUAGGUUCGGUCGGCCAUUGCGUGAUCCAUAUUGUGGUUGACGACAAGUUCGAGGUGCAGUACCUAAACUUUGCUACCAAAUGGGUGGCUGUCGAGUUUGCCAAACGGGCAUGGAAAUGUGAAAGGGGGGAAUUGAUAUCUCUGCUAAAUGGCAGCGAAGGUGUUAAAGGGCUACCUCUUUGAGGCAGUCAUGCAUGCUGCACUGGCGACUGGCGGCAAGUUCGAUGUGUUGCCAUUGGACCCGAAGACUCUGGAGCGGGGCAAGGAGGAGAAGCUGGAUAUCCCAGAAUGCAAGCAGUAUAACAUCUUCACAGACAACGAGGUCCAUGGUAUGAUGAGCACUACGAUGGACACAUACUUGAGGCCCAAGUCCUCCAACUUCCCCAUCAUUGAUGCUCUUAUGGUGCCGGCAAUGUACCUUUUCCAGAUGACUGUGUCGGCUAUGAAGGAAAUUAAUGCUGAUGACCUCGAAGACGUGUUCAAGCGACUCGGCAUCUCUGCUCCGGGCCAGGAGGGCCGCCAACCCAGCCUUUACUUUGUGGUGGAUCCUAGCAUCUACAACAAGUUUAAGGUGCGGGCAGGAACGAAGAAGAGGAAGGCCUGUGAGGAGCGAGAGGCUGUCUGGCCGCCCGACCCCAAAAAGCAUGAGCGGUCAGCCAACACCCGGUUGUACAUUCUGCGUGGCUGUAGCAGUUGCUCACCUGGCGGGUCGACUGGAUAAGCGGAAGCGUGGUGUUGGCUGUCCUCGCCGGAGUAGGAAUAAGUCCAACCCAGCGGCAAGCACUAGCGUACAUAGACACGUAUGAAACAAUCAGAGACGGUGGCAGCGGAGUCUUGAACUCCGAACACCUAGUAGAUGUGAUACGUCAGUGUCUGGCCAGAGCACCCCGCCCGGGUAGCUUAUAUCUCGGCCUACCUGCCGGAGAUUCCCUACCACGGUCUUGCCGUACUAGGAUAAUGUUGGUGGGGCCCAGGGCCCCAGCCCGUUAGGUUUGCUUAUGAACAACUGUCAUGUUCGAUGCAUGUGACGUGGCUCGUAACAUGUACAAAACUUGAGUCGAAUCAUGAACGAAUUAACAAUUAUUGUUAAAAGUAAUCGUUGAAAUAUUCUAAGGGAAAUGUAGCUUGCUACAGUGGCAUUGAUAGCAUUAAGUGAAGGUGUCAUGCACACAUACUAAGACCUGCACAGCAGCACCUGAUGCAUCCUCACCGCAACAAUUGUUGUGCUGGGUGAAGGGACAGCUUUGUGGACACCUUGGACCUAUGGCCACGAUCUUCAUGUUUUGUUGAGCUACUGUGUGCGAGCUACUCUCCUUAUUGAUGCAGUGGUAGUAGCCCCUUUCGUUAGCCAUGGAAUGCUGCUGAUGUCAAUUGCUAGUUGGUUAGGGAAGCUGCGGGGUUGCCCAAAUAGGCAAUCUGGUGCAGUUUCUGAGGGAAGUGUCUGCUAGGUGUUUUAGUAUGUACUGUUGUGUUGGGUUGGGCAGAUGAGUAAAAGUGUGCACAUGUUCAGAUGGCUGCUGAUGACUGGCAGUAUGUAGGUAUCAAAAUGGCAUGUAAUGUAGUGUUACAGAGUGGGAGGCUUCUGGGCCACUUUAUCACAUUGUCAGUUCUACGAUUUAUCACCUUAUAGCACCAAAUGGCAUGUGUCACUGCGUUUUUUUACUGGUGUAGCCAGUACUUGCCAGUAUCUAAUCUAUUGUAUCACAGCGGAUGAAUAUUCCUCAUCCUCUGACCCUAGAGAAUGCAUAGGUUUCGAACUGUUCUGAACCAUGUCACCCCAACAGUCAGCAGGUGCACCAACCGGCAACAAGAUGUGUCGUUCCUAACUAAGCCAACACACGGUAGGGCUCCUGUCUAAUAGGCCACUCAUAUACUCGUACACAAUGCUGCACAAAGUAAGUACAGAUCACAUUCUGGGGUUUGAAGCCGUUCCAGGAGUUCGUCUAUCCCCACAUAUUCAAACUCGAAUUAGAUGACAUUGUAGCACUGCCCAUAUGAAUACACAAGUUGUGUAACACGCCCUACCAAAAUGGAAGCGUGCUAAAGAAUGUUCCUGAGAACGCUAAGAAUGCUAAGAACGGCUUGAGAAUGCUGGCGCUGCUGAGAACGUUCUUAUGCCAGUCUCAAAAAAUGAUAAGCAUACUUUUGAAAUACGUUAUUCAUGGCCAAAUGUCGGCAUGAUCAACGAGCUUUGUGGCGGGCUCAAGGAGGGAAGUUGAGGGAGCGAUGUGCGAUAGAUGAUAUUGAGGUAUUAAACGCAGGUGUAGGGGAGACGGGGCCUGAUGGUGCAAACCGGCUUUUGAACUUCAUUAACUUUGGGCAGUUCCUAGAGGGGCAGGAAUGGCGGUCAUCCCACUCGGUUUUGGGCAGGACUGCAAAGGCAGCAGAAAUCCUAGACCCCCCCCGCACGCUGGAGGAAGUCGCACGUGCUGUUGACCGGCUGCCUAACAGUAAGGCACCAGGUUUGAAAGUAGCGCCGUCAGAAUAUUACCGCUAUGCACGUUUGCCUCGAGAGGAAGAAGGCUCCGCGUCGGGUAAUGGUAGGUGCAGGCAACGGGGGGAAGUGAAUCAGCUUGUUCCGGUACUGCACGUGCUUUUGGAACAUAUCAGGGCGACUGGGGACUUCCCACGGCAGUUUACAAUUACUGUCCUCACCCUUAUUUACAAGAAGGGGGAUCCCAGCAUGCCAAGUAACUAUCGGGGCAUAGCAAUAGCGGGCGCCUUGGCGAAAUGUUACGCGCUGGUCCUCCUGGAUAGGCUCGUUCACACAGGGGAGACACUCAUAUGCUUCAUGCAACAACACUCUGCUCGCAGAUUGCCGUGCACUGCCCCGACGCGGACCGCAGGGUGUUGGUGGACUCAACAGUGGUGCGCAUCAAGCCCAUCCAAGACGUUGCCAUCCUCGAGGUGUGCCAGUGUGCGGGUUGGUUAAGCCUACAGUAGCGGCAAUUGAGCUUACUUCUGCACAUGUAGCACCCUUGCACCUUUCCUCCCCAAGCCCUUUCCUUGCCUAGAUUCCCACAAGUCAAGGUCCAUGCAAGCUCAAGCUGGAGCAUUAAAGCACUCACAAUUCACAACAUAGUCAGCCGCCUGUGAUGUUGCUUCACUGGUAUUGACCUUCAGGUGCAGUGCGAGCUGGUGCCCCCGGUGCUGGACUUUGGUGUCUCGGCUGGCGACAAGUACUACGUCCAUGGCCAGUCCACACAGGCGCAAGCGGACGCCACAUCCAUCAGCCACGACAUGGUGGCGGCGACCGAGCCGGAUGUGCACAGCCACAUCUGCAGUGACAUUGUUCAGGCGGCGGCUGCUUCUCGGUCGACACCGGCAAGCUUGUGGCCAUGGUGGUCGGGUCUGACACUCAUAUGAACAAAGCCGUCCUGGUGCCCACUGCAGUCAUAUGCAGCAUCCUGUCGGACCUGUCGGCGACCUCGGGGGCUGCAGGAGCAGCCACCUGAGCAUACAGUGUCCGGCUGACAAUGUACCCAGUGUGGUGACCCGUUUAAACUAGCCGUCUUCUCCUGCAGUCGGGCCAUCUGCUCCUGCAGGUGGCGAAGGCAGUCCUUCUUGUGCUCUUCCCAAGUCUGGUUCGCCGGUUUGAGGCGAGAGCACAUCCGACACUUCUCUUCUCAAGUGUACCGGACGUUGUGUACUCUUCUCAAGUGUACCGGACGUUGACGUCCGCGGUUUCUUCGCACGAACCGUUUCCCAGGCCUGUUUGGAAGGGGACCGAGGGCGAGAUUGCUUAGGGCGAGAGGAGGAAGUAAUCUUAGACGGGCCAGCUUGUGUAGUAACUACAGCAAGCUGUGCUUUGUCCUUUCCGGCUUUCCACCGAACCUCCUGACCGCUAGCAUACAGGAUUAGCUUCUCUAAAUCCUGCCAGUCUUUGCCCUUAUCGUCCAUAGCGCAGCGACCGCGCAGUGCAGGAACUAAGCCCUUGAUAUACCAAGAGAUUUGAUCCGCAACACUCAUAUCAUUCGCUUCGCGAACAAUAUCAUAAAAGCGCUGCGUAUACUCUGGUACGGACUCGUCUACUUUCAUAUCGUACUCGUGCGCAUGCAAACGAUCGCGUGCGGCCAUCGCGGUGUCGCGCUUCACAUCCCCAUAUUGUAACAGGAAUUUAUCACGCAACAAAUCGCGGGUAAGUGGUUGCGCGCCGGACUUGUGCUUAAGGAAAAGAUCUGCGGCCCACUCCUGAGCCUUGCCCGUAAGCCAAAACAUAAAGUGCUCAAGCGGGUCCAUUUGCGACAAGUCAAAACAUUGCAUAAGGAGCGCGAACCAUGUCUUAGUAUUAGUAAUUUGCGAAUCCUUCUUUCCACUAAAACGAGGUGGUGCAAGGAUACGCUUAUUUACCUCGGAGGGACGGGCAGACUUGGAAGGAGGGGCCGCCGAGCCGGAAGGACCACCGGCUUGCUUGGCGAUGCCCUCGCCCCAGAGCUGCUUGACCUCUUCCAAGCGUACUUCGGGAUUAAGGUGGCGCUGCAGAAGCGCCUGGAAAGCGCAAUUCUGCAGCAUAUCCACGUCAAGAAACGCGGCCAGAUUGCUGUCCAGCGUCUCGCAGAUGCCAUCAAUAAUUAUCGUCUUACGCCUAGUGUCCGACGUACUCGGAGGCGGCGACGUAGGUGACAAAUCCCGAAGCUGCGCUUGCACAUCCUUCAGGGCGGAGGUUAUUUCGCCCAAGCGCUCGCCGUAUUCGGCGAGAAUGCCAUGAACCUCUCCCUUAAAGGAAGAUAAUUCCGCUUGAAGAGCGGGGACUUGAUUGUCGCGAGCCGCGCGAAGCAUUUCUUGGACCUGCGCGGCUGCCGCAGCCUGCGCUGGCGUACGCGCCGGAAGCCCGCCCGUAGAAGGCGAGGCGCGCUGCGCGGUAUCCGAUGGCGAUUCCGCCGGAGAAUCAACGUCCAUCUGUGGACAAUUAACAGGAAUAUUAUUAAUAUGAUGUUCCUUAUUGGGAAUAGCCAAAGGGCGUUCGUCUUCGUCGUCGGAAUUAGCAGCCUCGGGCGCAGCAGGGUCCUGUUCCUGAAGGGAUGCUUCGCGAUACCUUUCAUACGAUUUUUGAAGCUUAAGGAAUUUAGUCAAACGCUUUUGCGCGGCCUUAUUGUAGCGCAUCGCGUCAAGGAGGAUCGAACUUGACCCUCGAUACCAAUGUAGCAGCUGACCGCUGAAAAGGUCUCUCGAGUUGCUGGCGGUCGCGCUCUGCGCGUAUUUAUAGCACCGUACUGUGUACCGGCUGCUACAGGUGCAGGUAGAGGCAGCGCGGCUCGCACGUAGUAGCAAUCUUUAUGCAGCAUUCUUAACACCUGAGGUAGCUUCACGCGCAAGUUUGCAAAGGCUAUCUGCAAAACCUAGGUUUGGAACUCGCCACCAGCGCCUCGGUGUGCUAGCGGGAAAGGGCGUGCGUCCUGUCUACUCUCAACCACAAUGCCUAAGCACCGCAGCACAAUUGAGGGACAAUUCUCGCAGGGCUUGACGAGACACUCCUAACGCCCUAUGCGUCCAAUGGCACUCCUAACGGCCCAAUGCGCAAAUUUUACAAGUGCGUGCCUGCAGUGGCGGUUUACAGGAUACGAGCCUAACAAUGCUUAAGUACGCGAUUGCAUACAACGGACCUUGGAUAGCGGCCUUUAGAGCCAACUGCUGUCGAACAGUGAGGCCUGCUGCUUGUUCCGCAUUCAGCAGGCGGAAAGCGCCGCCGACCUCGGCAUCUACGUCAAACCCUAAAUCUAAAAGGGCAGCAACAAUUGGCGAAAUGGAACUAUCGUCCUCGCCCCCCACAGAAAGCAGGGCUUGCCGAAUGGUCACCAUGUCUAGGUAGACCCGGACCCUGUGUGCUAAUUGUAUUGGAGGUCACUGUUGUAUUUCGGCCAAGCCUUUCUCCUGCCUUCACUGCGUUAAGCUGGGUUAGUGGGACGUAAGGCCCAGUGCGUACUUGUUAGUCUAACUGUUUUUCAACGGCCCGUGUCUUCAGGGCCGUCAUUUAUAGCGCGCAUUACGCUGGUUAGCUUAUCCUGUUUUUGUUGUUCAGUGCGCACACACAUCACACGCGACAACACACAGACACAUUCAUGCAUUCGCACACGCGUGCGAAAGGAACCAUCGACUGCCCCUGAGAUGGUGACCAAAAUCGGCGGCAGACCGAGGCGCACUCCCAUCCUAACCUAGCCAGUGCAGCAGCUCCAUCACUCUCUUCGUCCCUCUUAUCCUCAUUCCCCCACAGUAGCAGUACAGCAAGUCAGCCCAGCAAGAGCGUCGCUAUGUAUAGUGGCAGUACGUCCACCGCAUGCAGAGUGGGUGUAUGCCAGCACGCACUUGUGCCGCCAGGCGGGUGCUGCUUCCCUCCGCCAGGCACCGACCCAUGGGUCACAGAUGUGUCGCAUUCGAAAGCGCAUUAAUGAAAUGAAGGGGGGGUCGCAUCUCACCAUUCAACUAAGCAUGCAUGUGCUCGGUUGAAUGCUCGGUAGCGUGCGAGUUUACCCCUAUCAGGAUGUUUGUUUGCAUAUCCCUCCAAGCGAGAGGGCUUGCACCUAUGCUGAUGUUCGUUCCAAGAAGUGAACUGAGGACUGAUACUACGGUGAAAGAUUUGCACGUAAAUUUGCCCGUGCAAUAAAACGCCCUGUAACUCGCUUACGCUAAUCUCACAUUCCAAUAUGCCACUGCACUUUCCUCUCCAGCCUGGCCACAUUCUCUUCCUCGCAAACGUACUUGGGCACCUUACAAUCCAACACCAUACGGGCUUUGGAAACGCGGGCAGCUGCUUCACAAGGACCCCCCUAUUUAUCAUACAGGUAAAGUCCAAACAUGGGCCCCAUAGGUGUUUGGUCCGCGGGUGUUCCGUACUCCGAAAGUUCCGGUGAGACUAGAUGUGUCGAGAGACAUGGAAUUCGUUUACAGAUAGACUCCGCCAAGAAACCUGAGAUUGACAGACAGUUAUACUGAACCUGGACCUGGACCUGGGAUAGACCGACAGGCUGGCAAUCAUGUGUUGCAAACUUUUGGGUCUUGAUCUCUGCUAGUCAUAAAGCCGCGUGUCUCUCUUCAUCGCUUCUCAGACUGACACGUUUGUGCCUGGCGCAAGUGGUGGUGAGCACCCACAUCCACUCGUGUUGUACGGGCCCUUUACUCUAGCUGUGUCAGAGCGCACGAAGCCACUACUGUCAGAGUAUCGAAAGGCAGACGUGUAUGCAGUGAAGCCAUAGCUGCCGAAUGUCCUACACACAGAGUAGUACACACUUCUACGCAAUAACGUCCUUUUAUCUGUUAACAGCAUUAGUGCGGACCUCCAGACGGAAAACAUGGUGCAGGAAGGUUGAGAAACCGGAAUAGCGGCGGGGACCUGCAGAACUGAUGCGCCCGGAAUGUGCGGCCUUUCAGCGAAAGCCAUCAUGGAGCCGGUUUAGGUGGCGACAUGAUACUAAGCCGACGAGUUCCACCUAUUGCGCAGCCAUCGUGUGUACAUAGCGUGCGAUGUCACUUUCUGUGUUUUUGAGAGACUCAGGCCCAUGGGAAACGUCCAUCCAUCUCCCCUCCCCUUUUCCACACCACCACACCUUCAUUCGCACACUUGCACGUCCACCGUGACGGCGCCAACAGAAGCACCCGCUGUUAUCUGUUCCAUUGGGUCUUACAUACUCAAUAAGCUUUCAACCGUCAGUUACACUGAAACUUCGUCAGCUAGGUCGUCUAGGUGAUCUCACUACGCCCCAACGAACCGCGCUCUUGCGUGUGUCCAGUGCUUGGGUUCUCACACGCAGAUAUCAUGGACCUCCGUCACGACCGCCACAGGCCCGCCACGGCAUGAAAUAUUUCUCGCCUCGACAAGUUCUGAAAAGAGUUUUGAAACGAGAGCUGCAGUGGCAGUAGCAGCGAGAUAGGAUGGUAUUAUUAUCCUUGUUCGUUCCCUGGGGGCUGUUGUGGGUUCGAUUUCGAUGUGGCGCACUCGUUUUUGGACUUAGAUCUCGGCGGGAGAUUGUCGGGAGUCCGUCGUACAAUAUAUGAAUUGAAACCUUACGUAAACUCGCUCUUGUUGGUGUGGCGGAAGAAAUAACACAAGAUCUUGAUGGAACAUGCAUGUUACAUAUACAUGCGAGACUCUCGUCUUCUUGAUGAGGAGGGUAGGAUUCGGGCUGGAAUAGGGGAAGAGCUUUGUCGCAGAAUUAGGUUGGAUUUUAUUCCUGGCACAAGAAUUGGUCCGCCGGGGUCUUGAAUUGUUCUGGCGGGCUCGCCGGAGGUAUUCGAAUUGCGCUGUGGAGCCCCGGAAUUGGGCUGUGCUGGGCCUGAAUUGGCCUGUCAGAGUGUCAAAUUAGUCUGUCAGGGUGUCGAAUUAGCCUGGCAGGGUAUCGAAUUGGCCUGUUCGGGAUGUCAAAUUGGCCUAGCAGGGUAUCGAAUUAGGCUGUUCGGGGUGUCGAAUUGGCUGUCGAGUUGGCAGAAUUGGCUCAGGCUGGCAUCCGGAAGCACAUGACUUUUACAGAAAAGGAAUUUUCAGAAAAAAUUUACAUGGGGAUCGCUUAAAAAGUGCCUCAUGUGCAUGUUGGUUUCAAUCCUAGGGCAUGGAACAGGUAAAAUUGCACAUGUCACGCCAUAUGACGUGCUAACAGACACAAGAAAUGCGGCUGGCUCACUGUGGGGAAAUACUGCAAAAUAAGAACCCUCUUCAGAAGCUCUCGCCAGGCUCAACCGGCGAAAUCCGGCUGAGUUCACCUCAGAGACCGCGAUCGUGGUAGGCGAGACCGGGCUGGGGACGGAUUCCUGUCAACGUGACGGUAACAGCACUAAGGGCGGACCUUGAAUGCCGUAUGGAUCCUCUCAUAAUUCCGCUCUGAUGGCGAAUGUGCAUCACGAGAUAGAGUACGAUCACAGGCUUGUUACAUAAAUCGGGCUUAGCUGCCCACCUGUGAUGCUAUUAUUCUUAAUAUUGUUGGUCAACAAGAGUUGCUUCGAGAGCCAAACGACAAAAAUCUGGCGUCUUCGCACUCACACUUAUGGCGAGGGAUCGACUGAUCCGCGCCGGGCCUUAUCGCACGAGGCCCUAUCCUGGAUGCGUAGCGUUCAUCCGACAGAUGAACAACAACUGAACAUCCUCAAACCACAACGGAAAGCGCCUUAUGCACUAGUCAAGCAGUGCCCUAAGUCUCAACUGAAUCAAGACGCGAUUCGUCCAACUACCUUCGGUUGACUUAAAUAGCGACUAACUCGGUCGUGGCACAUAAUUAGUACGCUUCAGAUGUUUUGGCGUGACACACACCUGGUUACCAUACUCUAAUAAUGUAGGGAGGCAAGCACUCAGGGCCACAACUGCAAUACCCACCAGUCAGUCACCGAGGCCCCACUGUUUUCCUACCCCACUUCAUCGGCAGUUUGUCCAGUUCAUACCCACACUACUCGUAUGCAUCAACAGGUUCGGGUGGAAACAAUGGCGAAUCUCCCAUACACACCACUAAACUCAGUACCACGAGCUACAAUGAAAACAAAUGAAAAUGCAGAUGUCUGUCGAGAAGAAUUUGUGCUCCAUGUGUGUUCUGUGCCUCAAUCCAUCGAGCUCUCCGUUGGGCGAAAAUUACUAAUCGCUUUUUUGUACGAUCGCCGUUAACUUGGAACACAACAAAAUUGUUGUGUCAGCUAUGUUAUGGUUGGAGUUUAGCUCAAGGCAAUUUAGUGUCAGUUGAUGAAGCUGUUGGCGUUAUUGCUGCUCAAUCAAUAGGUGAACCUGGCACACAAUUAACAAUGAGAACUUUCCAUACUGGUGGUGUUUUUGGCCGCCAAGUGCUGGCCGCCGUGGACGCGGCCAUUGGACUCGGGCAGCACCGAUCGAAGUCCGGGCGUCGAAUCAAAACCACCUGAAAGGAGAUCUCCUUAUACUGAAUGAAUGGGGUGUUGCCACACCCCAGUGCAGGGCAGGGCGCGUGUUUACAUCUCUUCGUCCAUGUGAAUGAUUUGAUGAAUGAAUGAAAGAAUGAAUGAACGAAUGAAAGCGGUUUUACAUUGUGGGCGUCUCGCCAUGCCACUGGUUCGGGUCGGUUCAGGUGGUAGUAUCUUUUCGUUGAACACACACACACACACACACACUGAAUGUAUGAAUGAAUGAGUGCAGAGUACGGUAACCAGGCGUGUAGGGUUCCUGCCACUUCCUGGCCCAUGUCUGGAUUUGAAACCAACACAGUACACACGAGAAAUACUUGUAAGUGCUCCCCUUACAGAGUUUUAUAAAGUUCCUUCAACUCCCGCAAUUCCGGAUGCCUGACUGAGAGUUUCCGGGCCGGCCCCGCAAUUGGUCGACAUUGCUCGGUCCAAGGGUUUAAAUUGGCACGGGGGCUACACCGGGACAAGUUAAAUUGCCGGGACAGGCCCUUGAAUUGGCCUGACAGGGACACGAAUUGGCCUGGCAGGGACAUUCCGUCAGUCAGGAUUAGCAUGUCGGGAUGUCGCAUUGGUCUGGCAGGGACAUUCGGACACUCAGAAUUGGCCUGUUCAGGGUGUCGAAUUAGGGAAGCACGGGAAUUGUGCGACCGGGGCAGUCCAAAGAAUUGCUCUCCCCGACUUUGUGUCCUACCCUCUAGAUGAGGACUUGAUGUGACGAUGUAAACGAGCACACACAUCACACGCGUCAACACAUACACACACAUUCAUUCAUUCACACGCGCGUGCAAAAGGAACCAUCGUCUGCCCCUGAGACGGUGACCAAAAUCGGCGGCAGACCGAGGCGCACUCCCGCCCUAACCUAGCCAGUGCAGCAGCUCCACGACUUUCUUCGUCCCUUUUAUCCUCAUUCCCCCACAGUAGCAGUACAGCCAGUCAGCCCAGCAAGGAGCGCCGCUAUGUAUAGUGGCCGUACGUCCACCCGCAUGCAGAGUGGGUGUACGGCCAGCACGCACUUGUGCCGCCAGGUGGGUUGCUGCUUCCCUAAGACAGGCACCGACCCAUGGCCGCAUUUGAAAGCGCAGUAAGGCCCCCGCCCCCCCCGCCUCAAUAGUGCGCCCCGGACGUGGAAAGGCGGACUUCUCUCUCUCUCAAGGACAAGGGGGCUCGCAAUGGCAGAGCGCAGAUGAGGAUGCAGACUCUGCCGCCGCCAUACCCCUCCCCCACGGCCCCUCGACACUGACAGAGGGGAAUUCGUGGGCUCCACACGCCCACCCGCUCAGUCACCCACCGCGCCGUACACCACCGGACAUGCAUGAACGUCAUUGCCGUCCGCUUCUUCUUUCCGCCGUCCCCAAACCAGUCAGGGUCGAAGGAGAGGCAGCAAGAGGCAACAGGUAAGACUACGCUCGCCCGUCGGCUGCUCAACAACGCUUCCUACAAUUUCGAACCCCAAGCAUCCCACAGAAAAGCGAAGCCCGUUGCAGCAGCAAGUGGCAGAGAUGCUCACGGGAGUGAAGACACGCGGCAAUGACGGAGGUGACGGCUAGCUAGCACAGCACAUCAUGCAUGGGGGGCAACGCGCCCUCGACGCCAGUGCCGCUCCGCCAGUGCCGGUGCCGUCACACGGCCAGAGGUGACCAGUGUCCGACUACUCGGUGGGUCGAUCCUCGCAGCACCUUCCUCACCACCUAUCGCCAUUUGCAAAUGGCUACGCGUUUACUUUGCGUACUUAGACCUUGACGGUCUUGGACUUCCGGCUCUUGAUCAUCUCCCGCAUAUGGGCACGGACCUGUGAGUGAGAAAAACACAUGCAAGGGGGACACAGGCGACGUACAUACAGAGCCGACAUACAUUACAUACAUACGAAUUGGUGUGCAAAUGCACAAAAAAUGAAAUUGCAUGGCCUGCAUACAUACACUCAGUUACUUGAUAUGACACACGAUGAUACAACAGUGGAAUGCUCUCGCUGUACGGACACAGUAUGGCAGCCUUCCAUCGGCAAACUCUGCAACAGUCACCACCUUACCUUAGGGGUCUGGGGCUUCUCCUUGAGCUCGUCGGUGAAGCCAGUAUCGACCUGUACGACAACAGGAGCAGGAAUGGACGGAACUCGGGUGAAUGGUCUCAGGAUAUGUAGGGGGUGCGUGAGUAAGACCCUCCCCUCCCCUUCCCAGCCCCUCCAGGCAAAACCACCCACCUACCUGCUAACGUCCGCGGUUCGCAGCUAGGAAGGCAACCAGGCAGUGCUGCGGCGGCGGCAACCGUGGUGGCGGGCGCCAGCUCCAACAGCUUGGCGGCAGUGUCCUGCCCUGAAGCAGCGGCCGCCCGCGCCUUGGCCAGAACCUGAACGAGACGGAGCCGCACGUGUGCGUGGGAAAGCCACAGACGCGCAGCGACCCGUGGGUCGAGCAUCCUAAAGUCCGUGUGGCUCCCUCCGUCACUGCAACAGUACCCUGCCACGUGUAUACAUGGCCCUGUAGCACACCUCAUUUUACACCUACCUCCCACCACCACCAGCCCCGCACACAAUACCCUUGCAAAAUAUAAAACACUUUACACCACAUCAACGAUCAAACCAACAGACAUCCCAUAGACCGCCCCAUCACCCCCACACGCCACACCUGGAGCAGCAUGGCAGUGGCGAUGGGGUUGGGCUGAGAUCGCAGCCGCUCCGCUCCGUAGUCCGCAAACGCCGACACCAGGGGCACCAGCGGCGGCUGCCAGUAUCCCAGCGCCACGAGGCUCCAGAUGAAGCUGGACAGCUCCCGGGAUCCGAAACCCUACUCGUACAUCACAUCCGGAAGGGGUGGGGUUGGGUGGAAGAGUGCGAGCGCGCGCGUGUGUAUGUGUUGCGGGGAGGGAGGGGUAAUAUGACUGGUUGGAAUUGUACGUUUCGAAAGGCCCACGAAGAAACGACUCUCUGUCUACAGCCUCAGCAGCAGCUGCCAGCUGGCGGGCCUCCACCCCCCCCCCUCAUUUCGGUCCCCAGCCCCCAGGCCCCUCCCGCACACCUCUGGCAGCGGCCAUUAGCUGCCCUGACCAGCCUCUCCACCAGUUGAGCCAGUUGGAGCUGGUGGGGCCGGAGGGGCUUCUGGAGGUUAGGGCAGGGCAGGGGAGGGGGAGGGAUUGCACGAUGCCGCGCAAGUCAAGUCAAGAAAACAGCUGCCGAGACAUGCGAGGGAGCGCCGACUGGCUCCGGAGCUCGCCAAGACCAAGAGAGUUCACCCAACGACGAAAAGGGCGACCAUAUGGCCCCCCGAAUUUACAUACACUGUGUAUGAUACACACCACAAACACACCACACCGCAGCCAGGGAUGCGCCCCGCAAAAGGCCGGCCACGCCUUGCUCCACUCAAGCCAUAAAUCCCCAUUCCAUCCUCCCUCCCGCGCGCCGCAACACAGCUCCCGCGGGCCCCCCGAGGAAGUGUUCCAUGUACCCCUUCCGGAGAACUUGAGACUAAAACUUCCCAGGCCCCAUCCCCCUCUUUGCCUCUGAGCCCAGCAGUCGGUCCUUGCUUUGAACUUGGGCAGUUGUGCAGUUCCCUCAACUCCUUACACCUUUCUUGAAUUGAAAAAUUCCCUCAGGCGGCCGAAUCCCCCUUUUUUUACCCACCGGCUGGGCGUUGCACCCCUCUCCCCUCCUCUUACUUCCACGACCACAGCGUAGUUGUAGGCGCCUCCCGUCACCACCCUCCGCCGCACAGGCGCAGCAGCCGUCACGUUCCUCGGCGGCGCCGCCGGAAACUGUAUGGCUGCACGACCGAUCCCACGGGACCUCGGGAAUGUUUCCUUUCGCCCCUUGCCACCAGCGUCAGCCAGUAAGCGCGUCUCCAGCUCCCGUCCGCUUCCAGAAGCAUCUCCUGUGCUACCGCUACGCCUGUCCUCAGAGCCCCUAUCGGACCCACCACGGUCAGGAGGAGAUUGGAACAGAACUUGUGGCGAUGACGGUGACGGCAGUAGCCGCAGUCGCUGCAUAAUGCGAAUGGCAGCGGCGGCCCGCGGCUGCUCGCAACGCCACAGCGUCACGGCCCGUCGUGCUGCCGCCGCCAACUCCUUAGGGUUCCACGUCGCCACCUCCGCCGCCGCGAGCUCGCCGAGCUCCUGCAUGGUGGAUGUGGGGGCGGUGUAAUGCGCGGCGUACGGUAUAGUGUACGGCGAGUGUACAGUGUACGGUGGUCGUGUUUCGUGCACACGAAGGUUGUGUCGUUCAGCAUUUCCCCAACAAUCGGUGCCCCCCCCGGCGCCCCCCAGCAGUAGCCACCGCCUCUCAGUUCUCCUCGGACACGUGUCACCCUGACGCCCUCAGACACGGACGCAUUUUGCGCUGACAAAGUCCUCAGAUGAUGCUCCACAUUUGCGCUGGGAUGGGAUCCUGUGGUUUUACUCUAUGGACCCCUGGUGACUGCCUGCAACAUUCAGAGGACAUCGCGGGCCGUCUGGAGGUAGAUCGCACCCGCAAAGUUGCGGUGUUCAUGAUCUUGCGGGAAGGCUUGAACCGUGGCCAUCGCCGGCGCCACCGGGGUUGCUGCUCUCCGCCGAAGCCACCGCCGCCAUUGCUCCUGUCGGCCCCGGCGUAUCGGCUCGCCCGCGUGUGUUUCAGCAUCAUCCGCUGUGGCCGCGGCAGUGAAGGCAGGAUGGCCUGGAUAGGGACAUCGGUUGAGACCGCAGCAAGUCACCACAUUAUAUGGGCAUGUGUUUUGCGGCAAACAAGGUCAUCUCAAAAUCGUCGUGGUGCGGGCCGUGUGCGGCCGCGUCGGCAACGAAGGCGGGAGGUUUACCUACCCAUCGAGACAAAGGGAAAGGUCUCAAGGCGCCGGUAUGACCAGGGAUAUGAUGGCUCGCUAAAAAGCAGAAAGGGAAUGAAGCUGUAGAGGGCUGCGUGAGGUCGCUGCUGAAGGCCCUAUCUAGACAACCGACAGGUGACGGCACGGAUGUGAAGCUGCAAAGCCGAUACUCAACAUCUACUAAGGAUGCAACGCAGCGUCCUUCAAUCGGCCUCCCAACAGUCUGUUCAGAUACGUUCCGAGCAGUGCAAGAUAAUGCUCGAGGUGCUGAUAAACAGACGGCUUCGAAAGCCUUCCUUUUGAGCAUGGCAGGUUUAUUAGGGAUCAACACCAUUGGAUUGUCGCAUGUUUGCCAAGACCACAACGGAACAUAACGAACCAAUUAUGAUGCAUAACGUCGCAUGUGCUACAGACUUAGUUGAAAGACACUUGCAUGUGAGCAGAAUACUUGUCCUAAAAUAGGUAAUCAUACCGGUGUAGUGAAACGCAGACAAAAUGAUAGGCGCCCAUGUACGGCGUGCUGUGCUAUGCUUUUCAUUAUCGUCAUGACCAAUUAAUAACACGUAGAUCCUGACAUUUUCACAUGCUAAAGGCAUUUGCGUGCUGAGGAGAGAGCGGUAGUUUGCGCUGUCGCCCGAAAAUGAGGUGCGAUGAAAGCCUUCCCCACACAGCUUAAGCUUAACGAUACCUGAUCUGAUCUAUAACAAUGCAUCAAAAACUACUUCCAGGAUGCUCUUUGUGGGAUUUGGCGUCGGUGUUGCGGUGGGCGCUGGAGGAUGUUACCUAUACCUGUCCGCGGUCAAGCAGCCUCAGGACAGACGUGGUAAGCCAGGCGCAUCUGUCGUUGACCUCCGCUGGGUUUAGCCGCUUCCCGUACCAACAGGAAUCCACGCGCAUUUACCUGCGCCGUGGUAGCCUGCCGUACCUUCCCUCUAGCUUUCUUGUUGACCCGACCACCCAACCUAUGUUCAGCGCAACAUGGCCAAUACGAGCAAGGACGCUUGCCUGCAGGACCAAUAUGAGCGCUAGCGUCCCCAAGUGCUCCACACUGCGCAUUCCGUUCAAAUCUGUCCAGCUGACCAGCGAGUGAUUUUUCACGGCAGCCGUGAUACCGUGACCCGGGUUUCCCCUGACCAAUCCCCAGGCACCCCAUUAUUGGCUCAUGGACUAACUACCCCACAUGUAUUGCUUGCAGUACACGUACACGGAAUUCCUCCAGUUGCACAGUACCAUAUGUGCCUGUCCGGCAGCCUUUCCAACAGGCUUGAUUUUCAUUUUUUAUGUCCUUUCGAUGUUCGCACAUCGCUACACGUCCCGCCGGCCCCAGCCCCAAAGGCCACCCCCAGGACCACUUGCAGCGCGCAAACUAUCCAAAACACUCCUUCACGCACGACGGUAAUGCUGCCUUUUUCCCCCCCACCGAGUUGGCACUUUUGUUUCUUAUUAGGACGUCUGGGCGACCACAGUUGAGUCGUGUCAUUGGAAUGCAUGAUGAUGAUUUCCUUCCUUCCUCUGCCAUACUGCUCUCUGUGUUGGUCGCCCCGACCUGCAGCGGGCCUUGGCAUCAGCUUGGUGGAGGGACACCACGCCGCCAAGUUCGGUAAGAAACCAUUCAUUAGACCAUUCGUUCGGAAUUAGGAGUCCGAUUCCGGAUUAAGGGAGUUGAAAUCCGAUUUGGGAGUCGGGUUGGGGCUUGAAUCCGGGUAAAAGGCAAUCGUGCAGUCGGGCUUGAAGUCGGGUAUCGACAUUCGGCACGCCGCUGCUCGCUGCUGUGGGGGGAAGGCAGGGGGAAGCGAGUACCGCGGCUUCGAAGACGGGUGGGCUCUCCUCACUGCGCUCUGCAAACGGCGGUAUUGUGAUGAUCGGCGAUUACGUUGUUGACAUGAAGCGCAGCAGCUCUUGGUGAGAGGCGUUAGCUCGCAUUAGCGUUAGCAUCACACGGCAUCUCUGUCUGUCUGUCUGUCUGCUUGUCGGUCAGUCAGUCUGUCUGUCAGUCUGUCUGCCUGGCGUGCUGACUGUCGUCGGCCCAGUCAGGCGGUAGAGAGUCUUAAUGCCCUAAGGCCCUUGGCAUCACGUAUUGGCAAGGCUGGAUGGUGGUGGCGAUGACGAUGGCAAUAUUGGUGAUGAGGUUAUGGCCCGUGAAUCUCGCAGGCGCACCAGAGACCGAGAUCAUACGGCAGUACGAAGGCUACGUUGCGGCGUACGACUACCGUACACGGAACCCCAAGUGGGUUCUGAAGCACAUCACCAGGGCCUCUUCCAACGGAGAUGCCAAAAGGUGUGCUGGAGGGGGAUAUGGGGGGUGUGAAAUGCUUGUGUGUGUGUGCGCUCGUGUUAUCGUCAUCAUUAUCAUUAUCAUCUUCAUCAUCAUAUACAUGAUCUGCCCACCCUUCCCCCUGCCGGCCAUGAAUGACCUUACACGUCAUCCUCCCCCCUUCCAACCCCGCUCUAGGGAGGGCUCGGAGUUCUUCCCGGACCCGGGGAUUGACCCAAGGUUCAGUGCCAAGCUGAGCGACUUCCGCGGCUCUGGGUACGACAGGGGCCACAUGGUACGAGUGUACGACACUGGGUGGAAGGGAGACUGCUAUACACGAAGCAAGGGGCGAGGAUUUGGUGUCUUAUUUAGCGAUAAGAGAGAGGCUCCGUUGCGAAAAAAGAUCCACUAAUUGCGUGUCAUGGGAUCCGAACAUUUGAAAGCCGCAGUGGGACGAAUGCUUGAAUUUCAAUUGGAUUUGGAUCGGUUUUGAAUUGAAUUUGAACCAGAUGCGGCUCGCGGGAGCACACAAUAGCACACAUAGAGCGUUCCCUUUUCCCCGCCGUAUCCGCGAUUGUUGACGGUUGACGGUUGACCCUGUCCUCAGACACCCGCUGCGGACCACAAGUCUAGUCAGAAGGCGAUGGACGAGACAUUCAGCCUCAUCAACAUCAGCCCGCAGGUGGGUUCGUGUGCGUAUGUAUGUAUGUAUGUAUGUAUGUAUGUAUAUAUGUAUGUAUGUAUGUAUGUAUGUAUGUAUGUAUGUAUGUAUGUAUGUAUGUAUGUAUGUAUUAUGUAUGUAUGUUGUUACAGGGUGGUUAACUUCGCCAGCGGCCCCCUUUCCCGGGGCAGUCCCUGCUCGCCCCUGCUAGAGGGGCACCCUAAUCCGUCGCCCCAUCCGACUUCAGAAUGUAUUCGUUGGGUUCGGCAACUCACCACCAGCAUCCAACCAAAUCUAGCGGAUCAACGGCGCAUCAACUUAGUUCCUGGUCAGCUCGCAAGUUGAUUUUAUCACGUCCUACAUCGUCCAUAUGAUGGGGGGCCACCUCCCAUUUCAUCACUCCUCAAACACCCGAGGAGUCGGCAGGCGGAUUUGACCCCGGGUCGGCCGGGAGCAGAAGUCAGGCCUUAACCUCUGCCAGCCG